AGGAGAGGUUGAAGCAGAAUCUGCAGGUGUUUGACUGGGAGCUAUCAGAGGAUGACCUUAACAAGAUCAAUCAAAUCCCACAGCACAAAAUGAUGUUGAAAGAAGAACUGGUUUCGGCUGAUGGAUCAUCAUCACCGUACAAAUCCGUUGAAGAAUUAUGGGAUGGAGAGAUUUAGGCCUGAAAUGAAAACCAAUCCUUGUGUAACACGUUUUGUGUGCGUCCAAAAAUAAAGGCGCCUUUUAGUCAUUUUCAGGAAAACCUAGCCGCUCUCUCCCUCCCUAGGAAGGAAAACCCAAGGUUUGAAGACUUAGCCGCCACCCCCUCUAUUCCGGAUCUAUUUUGUCCGGGGACUGCCAUUGCCUGUAGCCGACGUGGUUGCUCUGUUGUUUCAGUUUGUGUUGUCAGCGCUUUGUAUUUUGUUUGUUUCUUUUGCAGAUUUGAGAUUUGAGAUCCAUGCUGGAUAUCUACUCCAGAUCUGUUGAUUCGUCUCAAUUUGUGAUUUGGUGACAAACGAGGUGACCGAGCGUGCUGUGCGGAUCUUUUCAGCCUUUUGUGCUGUUUGUGCUUCAACCCGUUGGUGGUGUUGAUCAAUAAUCUCUUCUUGUAUUUUACUUGUAAUUUACAUGUAAGAGCCUCAAGUGUUUGUUGCGUCAGUAUACUCCCACCUAUCUGGAUAACCUUUUGUGGUUACGCUUCCGCAUUUGUAUCAACUCUAAAUGAGUAUUUGUAUAUGCCCUUAUACUGACUAAUUUAUAAGGGUAAUACUAAACUUACCACAUUUUUGUAUUACAUUGUGUACUACCUCUCUAAUAGAGGUGGAGCCCACCAAUACAACGGAGCCUACCUCUCUAUUAGAGAUGUGGUACACAAUGUGGUAUAAAAAAUGUGAUAAACCUAGUAUUUUGCAAUUUAUAAAUGUAAUAUCGCUAAUAUAAUUAAAAAAAUUAAAGGCGCCAAGGCCCAUCUCUAAAGUUCUCUGUCGCUAUCCUAACGAUCCUCAAUUAAUUGAUUACUUUAUAGAAACCAAACAAAUCAGAAAAAAAAGAGAUUUGAUCAUUUACCUUAUGGGUAAUUAAAACUAGGGAGCUUUAGUUUUCACACAUAAAAUACUUUACUAAUUUGGAAGAUAGAUAUACAAUUUUACUUAAUUAAUAUAAGACCAAGAACAAUAAAGUAACACCUACUUUUACCAAAAUAAAAUCGAAGAACACUAAAAUUACUACAUGUGCCAUUGUGCUUUAUUGUCAAAUAUAGAUAUUUAGUUUUCACUAGGGAUGGCAACGGGCCGGUUAGGGGCCGGGUAUGGCAAUACCAUCCCCGUCCCCGCUCCCCAUCCCUGUCCCCGUCCCCGCCCCAAUCCCCGGUUUAGGCUUUUCGGGGAAUCCCCGUCCCCGUCCCCGUCGGGGAAGUGUCUCCCAUACCCGCCCCAAUCCCCGGUUUUUAAUAAGAUAUUUCUUGUUAAAAUAAUUUCUCAAUCCAAAUAUUUAGAAACUUUUUCAGUAAGCACAAUAAAUCCUUCUAGUCUUAAAUUAGAAAACCAAUCCUAAAGAAAUAUUAACAAUAUCCUGUUAUCAAAUAAAACUUCACAAUUUCAAUGAACUCUCCUACGCUCCAUCAUUCAUAGCUUUAAUCAAAAAACAAAGAUAUGUUCUCUGUUUCAAUGGUAGACUCCUACAAAAGAAAAAAUUAAUAAUAAGAUAAAACAUUACAAUUAUUUAAAAGAAAAUGAGAAACUGGCCAAUAUAAGAAAAAUCUAUUUAAAAAAUUAAAGAGAGCUAUUAAAUAUAAGAAUGUUACCUCUUCCUCAUUAUUAUCAACUUCUUCAUCUUGAACGGUAACUCUUCUAGCUUCCUUCUCAUUAGGGCUUGAAGCUAACAGUAUAAAUAAAAAAAAUUAUUAGAAAACAACAAUAAAAUGUUUUACUUAAUAUGAAAAAUAUAAGCAUAAAAAUAUUUCAAUACCUCUUAUCUCACUCCAUAACCAAUCGCGAGCGCACAUCAAUGCCUCUACUGUGUUUGAAUGAAGCCGGCUACGAUGAGGGCUUAUAAUCCUUCCACUAGUACUAAAGCAAGACUCUGAAGCAACUGUGGAUACAGGAAUGGUCAAAAUAUCUCUAGCAAUAUCAUGCAAAGUAGGAUAUUUGAUCCCAUUUGAUUUCCACCAACAUAAUAUAUCAAAAUCAUCAUCAUCAUUCCUAGGUAAAAGAGACUCUUCUAGAUAAUGAUCCAACUCAGAUUUAACAUGUCCAUGGGUAGUGGAGUGAGAAACAAACACAUCUAAUUGCUUUACCAAAUCAAGUUUAGGCAUAGAUGGUCUAGAUGACGAAGUAGGAAUCAAAGAUUCAGAUUGCACCUGUUGACUUUGUUGAGAUCUUGACUGAUACUCCUUGACCAAGUCAUAGAGAAUAUCUUUAUAUUUCUUAAUCUCUUGAGCUGCGUUGUUUGAAUAUAUUAGAGGGCAUAAAAAUUCAAUUUGUUUCAUCUUAUACCUUGGAUCCAAAAUACUUGCAACUCCCAUCAAACCAUGCAUUGUAUCCCAAUACUUCUCAAACUUUGUUUGCAUAUGUAAUGCCAUUGCUUGCACCUCUUCUUGUUCAGAACUAAGCCAAUCAUAAAUUGCUAAUCUAAUAGCACAAAUAUUCUUAAAGUAAAGAUUGGCAGUAGGAUACUUGGUCCCUGAAAAAAGAACAGUCACAUCAUAAAACAUGGCCAACUUAUCAACAAGCUCCUUUGUCUUUGCCCAAUCACUUUCACUAGGCACUUCUUUGUACAAUGGCUCACGGUGCUUCAAACGAGGAAAAACAUCUUUGUAUAUCAUUGCAGUCUUAAGCAUGGAAUAUGUAGAGUUCCAUCUAGUCUUACAAUCAAGUUCUAACAUUUUAGAGGUUGGAACUCUCAAUUGCUUGGCCGCUUCAAGAAAUUUCUCCUCUCUUUUUUGGGUUCCUAGCCAAAAUGCAACACUGUACCUAAUUUUCUCAAUACUUUUUUUAAUCACCUCUAAGCCAUCUCUCACUACCAAAUUCAAAAUAUGAGCACAACACCGCAUGUGGAAUAAACGUCCAUCUAACAUAAGUGAACUCGAGCAAAUCUUAUCUAACACUAUCGCAAUCAUGGAAUCAUUUGUAGAACAAUUAUCUACAGUUAAGGUAGACAACUUACGGUCAAGAUUCCAUUCGAACAUGCAUUCCAAUAAAGCAUCAGCAAGUACCUCCGCCGUGUGUGGACAUGGAACAUAUAUAAACCUAUAGUAAAACCCAAAUAAGUCACAAUCUAAUUAUUUUUUAAAAAAAAUAGGAUUAAUAAUUCAAAUAAGAAAAGUAUAUUACUUUUACCUUAUUAGUCGGCUUUGUAAAUUCCAUGCAUCAUCAAUGAAAUGUGAUGUGAUAGUCAUGAAUCCUCUCUUUUGAUUAUUCGAUGUCCACAUAUCCGUUGUAAUGGCAAUUCUACUUCUGUUGGUGUCCAACAACUUCAUUGUUUUCUCCCUCUCAACUUCAAAAACCUUAAAUAUGUCCUUCUUGAUUGUGUUUCGAGAACACACCUUAAAUAAUGGUUGCAAAGCAUUGGAAUACAUCUUGAAUCCAAUAUGAUCAACCAUGGAUAAUGGAUACUCAUGAAGAAUAAUCAUAUUUGCAAGUGCCUUCCUGGCAUGGUCGUGGUCAAAAUUAUAAGUGCCAAGUUUGACACUCCCAUCACUCAACUUUGUAGGAUUCAACAUUGAUUGAUCUAUGGUUCUUUGUCUUUUAUAAAGACAAGACUUUACAUGAUCAAGUAAAUGUCUAGUCCCAUUCUUGCUACUUGCGCCUAAGAUAUUCUUACAAUGAAUGCACACAGCUUUUAUUUGACCUCGAAUUUCUUUCUUUUCAAAAUGUUCCCAAGCAGGAGAUCUACCUUUCCUUUUAUUCAUAGCAGCUUGAGUUGAAAUUGUGGCUUCUGUGUCGUUAUUUUCAGUUACUGCAGGAUUGCUAUCAUUUUCAUUUGUUGUAGGGUUGUUAUCCUCCUCAAUUUGGGUUUCAGGAACUUGAGUCUCUUCAUUGUCGUCACUCAUCUAGGAAAAAAAAAAUAAAAAAUUAUAAAGACUGAUACAUCAAUUGGAAGGUAAAAUAUCAAACAACAAGAAAAGAAUUAGUCAUGACAAAAAAUAUAUUCUCAAAAGGAAAAGAAUAAAGAAUGCAUAUUAAAAAAAAGGUAUAGCUUUUAUUAGAACAAAGCAUGCAUAUCAGACAAAGAAUAGCUUUUAUCAAAUCAAAACAUGCAUAGGCCUUGCAGUCGAAACAACAAUCACUUUGUUUCAACUAUUGUCUAUUGUCCUAAACCCCUUCACCGCUACAAGACAGCUGUCAUUUGAUUUGCCUUUGUACACACUACCGUAACCCCCUUGUCCUAUUUUUUCUUUGAAGGAGUUGGUCGCUUUCUGGACCUCCAAAUAGCUUAUACCUUAUAACUUGAAGUGGCUUAUAGUUCAUGAGAAAUGCCUCAACAGUUUGACGAUCUUGGCUUUGAUUCUUCCAGAAGAAGAUAUAUCUCUAGGAUAUAUAAACUCUAGUAUUCCUGACUUAUUCACAGAGAGUUUGGCCCGCAAAAAAUCUAAAGAAUAUAAACUAAAACAAUAUAAAAUUAUCAAAUCAAAACAGCUUUUGUGGUGUUAAAGCUGUAAAACAAUAUAAAAUUAUCAAAUCAAAACAGCUUUUGUGGUGUUAAUUGCUUAUAGACAAUAUAGUAAACAAUAUAAAAAUUGUCAAAGAGAGAGAACCUUAUUGCUGACAGUAAAAUUGAUGUGCAGUACUUGCUCAUAGAAUUUGAGAAGAUAGCAGCCGUGUAGGAGGAAGGAAUAAGGAGCGACAGACAGAUAGCGACUCUCUAGGUUAAUUUUGUUUAUUAUAUUAUAUUAAUAUAUAUAUAUAUAUUAAUUAUAAAUAAAUAUAUUACUUAUCGGGCCGGGUUCGGGGAUGGGGAUGACAAUCCCAUCCCCGGCCCAUCCCCGGUCGGGGAUUUUGCAAAUUCGGGGAUCCCCGUACCCGGCCCCGAUUUCCCCCCGAAAACUCCCCCCGUUAGGGCCGGGGACCCGACGGGUAUUAUUGCCAUCCCUAGUUUUCACCCACCCAAAACUUACAGCUGUCAAAACGACAUAACAAGACCCAAAAUAGAACAAAAAAUGACACUGCUCAAAUAGAAUCAGUUCCAAAAACCCUUUCGCGCGACCUUUCAUCUUCAACUACAGAAACCUUUUCAACAGUUCCACACUAUUCUCCAAAAUCUCAGACGAUCGUACGGCGACUAGCAACGAUGACGAGCAAUGACCACCACCAACAACGACAACCACCGACGACGAUCGAAGCGAUUUUCACUCUCUUGGGAAAAAAAACAGUAAGAAAAUGACCCUCUAACACAAAUUUGUCUUCGAUUUUAGGGAUUACACAUUUUUGCUACUGUUCUUUAUGCAAUGCAGUUUUUGGAAAAAUGGAUGACUCGUUGGAUUCAAAACUACUCUUGGUUUAGGUUUUGCUUCGUUUAUAGGGAUUAAGGAUUUCUGAAAUUUAACUUACUGUUCAUUCUUCAUUCUGUAAUGUAGUUUAGGUUUUUGAUUUAGUUUUGGUUUGAAAACCUCUAAAAAUCAAAAAAAUCAAAAAAGAAAGAAAAAGAGCAUCAAAUCUGUUUUCUGCACUGAAGAACAGUAGCGAAAUUGCACUGCAUAUCCUGUUUAGUUUAAAGUUCUUGUUUUGACUUUGCUGAGAAGAGGUUUGAAAACCUCUAAAAACCGAAAAAUCACAAAAGAAAGAAAAAAAAAGCAUUAAAUAUGUUUUCUGCACUUAAGAAAAUAGAAAUUGCAUUGCAGUUUCUUUUUUCUAUUUUCUGCUCAAUUAUUUAUACUUCCAUUUCAUGUCAAGUUGUUGUGUAGUUUAUAUUAUGUUUUUUGCUUUGGGUUACUCUUGUUAUAUUUCUGUCAUGUUUGAUGAUGUUUUGUGUUUUGGAUUGCUCCUUUUAAAGGAGGAAGAGCAUCAAAUAUAUCUAUUUGAAAAUAGAAACUGCAUUGCAGUUUCUUUUUUCUAUUUAAUGCCUAACUAUUUAUACUUCCAUUUCAUGUUAAGUUGUUGCGUAGUUUCUGUUAUGUUUUUUGUUUUGGGUUGCUCUUGUUAUAUUUUUAUAAUGUUUAAUGAUGUUUUGCGUUUUAGAUUGCUCCAUUUAAAGGAGGAAGAGCAUCAAAUGUAUCUGUUUGAAAACAGAAACUGCCUAUUUUCUGCUCAACUAUUUAUACUUCUUCCUUGUAGUUUAUCUCUACUUGUCCUAAUAGUAUUUUCAUCCCUUCUUGUUGCAGAUCACAAAUCGAACAAGAAAUGUCACCACAAAAGAAGGAAGCUCAAAACCAACCAAAGCGAAGAAUCAAAAUGAUGGCUCAAAAUAGUAAACCAAAGCCAAAGCCAAACUAUGAUCGGAAAGCAAAGCACGCUAUGUCCAAUUUUGGUGCAAUGUCAAUAUUUUCAACAGCAUCAUCACAGACGGAAAGGACAAGCUCAAUGAAAGGUAGAAGAAGCUUCUCAAGAAAAUCCCAUUCUGGAACUUGAUCGAGCUGUUUUACCACCAGAGAAUUGACAUGAAUGACAUGAAUAAGUCGGACCUUGACUUAGUACAGCUGCUCAAGAAAUUUGAUCCGGAUACAAAGUCCUUUAAAUUUGGAACUAAAUCAUUCCACAUCACAGGCAAUGCAGUGACUCAAAUUCUAAGACUGCCAAAUGAAGAAAAAUAUGUCAAACUUGUCAAUGAUAGGUACACUGCUACCUUCAGAACAAGGCACUUUGGAGAAAAGGGAAAACCAUAAAAAAAAACCAGGUAGAAGUAGAAUUACAAAAGACAAUUGCCUUGGCAAACCCACCGAAGAAAGAAAAGGCCAAGGUAGAACAAAAGAAGAAAACAAACAAAGGAAAAGAAAAGAAAGAAGCUAAAGAAGAAGAAGUUGACUACGACAAGGAGGUGGCCAACAUAAUAUUGAUUUUGCUGUGCAUUACAUUCCUUUUGCCAACUCUUCAUCUACUUUGAUUUGGAAAUUAUUUGAGCACUAUGUGAAUCCAGAGACACUUUCAAGCUAUUCGUGGGCAAGAGCUGAUUCAGUCUACAUGAAUGAAUCCUUGAUCGCAAAAGCAAAAACAAAAGCAAAAAAGGGAGGAGAAGCCUCUAUAGGAGCUGUUUCGGGUUGCACUAUCCUAAUAUUGGUAAGUAAACAGUGGCUUAUGCAAUGCAUUUUGAGUUUUAGGCAAUGCAGUUUCUAUUUUAUCAUAUGCAGUUUCCAACCUGAUUUCUAAUAUAUCUUGUUUUUGAACUGUGCAGUUUCUACUAUGUGAGAGGACAAACAUCAUACAACCAAUCCUUAGCAAGGAGAAAGAAACUCCUGCCAUUCUUAAAUGGAGUCUUGUGGAACUCCACACAAGAUAAUGACAUCGAGGUAUGUAAUUUAUCACAUGUUCUAUUUUAAUGUAUCUUGAAUGUGAAUCCAUGCUAAAUCAUUCUCAUUGUACAGGGUAUUUUCAAAACUCCUAAAAAGCGAAAAACUACCAGGGAAAAGGAAGACACUGUUUAGAAGGUAAUUAAAAUUUGUAUACAAUGCAUUGCAGUUUGCAUUUUAUCCAAUGCAAUUUCUGAAUCAUUCAAUCUCAUUGUACAGGGUAUUUUGAAAACAUAUAAAAAGAGAAAAACUACCAGAGAAGAGGGAGACCCUCUUGAUAAGGUAUAAGAAUCUCUAAACAGUGAAUUGUGCAUUGCGGUUUUAGUUUCCUCCAAUGCAAUGCAGUUUCUAAUUAGUUUCCAUUCAAUAUGCAGAAAAAAAAAAGAUGAUGAAGGACAACAAGGAGAAGCAGAGGAAAUAGAAGACCAAGGAAAAGCUGAUGAUGCUGAUCAAACUCCAGAAUUAAAAGAGGCUGGAAAGAAGAAAAUGUUUGAGAAUGAAGCUGGAAAAGAACCUCUUGCAAUUCAAGACCUCUUGGUGAAGUCCAUGACAGACCAAAUCAACUACCGCCAACGUCAAGAUCCUAGCUUCGUUUGCCCAGAAAGAUUACAACUGUGGAAGGAUGAAAUAAAUGAAGUCAGUGAGAAGAAAAUGAAGGAAUUAGGGGAUAUAUUUAUCCAAGCAGAAAAGAGAUCAAAGGAGCUGGAAGUGGAGUUGGCAACAUACGUAGAGAAAUUAGAUAAUGAAGAAUGUGUGACUGCCACCAUGACAGUGAAAUCUACAGUUCAGCUUCAUUAAUUACAAAAUCUGAAAAUGAGGAUUGCAAAAUUGGAAGGCAAGAAAACUGGUAUUGACAUGGAGAAGAUUGCCAAGAAAAAGGAGAUUGAAGAAAAGUACAAGGUAGAAUUUCAAAGCUUGUUGUCAGACCCAACAAUCUUUGAAAUGGAGAUGGAUCUGCCUACAACACAACAACACAACCAAUUGAAGAGAAAGAAGAAGAGAAAGAAAAAGAAAAGAAAGAAGAAGAGAAGAAGCAAGAUGCUCCAACACCUGAUAUUCCUUCAAAACUAAUAAGGCUGAAGAACAGAGAAAGAAAGAAGCUUCAAGCAUCUUGCUAUGUGUACGAAAAAAAUAAGAAACCAAAAAAGAAGGCAAAAAAGGAUGAUGAAGAACUACCACAAUUCAAGCUUAUCUCUUCCGAGGAGCAAUCAACAUAAGAGGAUCCUCAAAAUCAGAAGGUGGUAUGCAAUUACUGCAGUUCAAGCUACUGCUUUUUUCUAAUUUCUGCAUUGCAGGAAACGGAAACUAUGUGUUAUCUGCUUUACAGAAACGAAAACUGCAUUGCAGUUUCUGUUUUAUCAAAUGGAGGUUCUAAUUAGUUUCCUUUCAAUCUGCAGUUAACACAAGAGGCAUCUCAGUCAGAUGCCACAAAUCCAAUUCCUGAUCCCCCAAAAGGAAUGAGCCUUCAUGAUUCAAUACCUGUAGGUCUGCAAGAAUCAAAUGAUGAAGAUGAAUGACACAAAAAGACACAAAAAAAGCCAAUAAAGAAAAAACCAGGAUGGGGUCAAAAGAAGGUUUGGCAGAAAAUUCCAAAGGAGGACAGGGACGGAAUUCAAGAAUACUACUUAAGUACUUAACCUCGGUAAUAUCUCUAUUCCAAAAGAACAAUUCUUUCAUCUUUUAAUUACAAUUAAACUAAAACAAAUCUUGUGAAUUUCAUGUAUUCGAAUCCGCAGUGAUAACUUUUGGGCAGGACUCCAUAAUGAGAAAAUGACAAGCCAUGAUAUCAAAGAUAUUGUGUGGGACCUGGAACUGUCACAAAACAUAAGUAUAAAAUACUAAUUCUAUAACACACACUGCACUGCAUUUUUUAUUUGUGCUACCUAUAUUACUCAUUAAUAAUUCCAUUUUUCUUCAAUCAAUGUGAAACAGGUUAUUGAGGCCUAUAUCCAAAUAGAGGAGGAGAAAAUAGGGACCAUGCAGACAGAUAGUCCACAGUACAUGUCCACAUGGACUUGGGUAAGAAUUAUUUUGAAAAUUCAAAAUUGUUUAAACAGACACCGCACUGCAGUUUUUGAAAAAUAUAUACUAACAAAUUGCCAUUCAAUGAUAGCAGGCUUACAUGCAAACCUUCCUAGAGCCAAAGUGGCACAGGGCCCUGUAUGAACACUUACUUGAAAAACUCGGGAAAUGCAAUCUUCUUUUCUUCCUGAUCAUUUCAAGUUCUGAGUUCCACUUACACUUCUCACAUUUCACAAAACUGAACGAAAGUGGAGACACUACAAUCCACUUAGAUCGUUCGGACCUAGAAAAGAAGAAAAGUGCAUUGACAUUGCUCAAAAGUUUGUAAGUGGAAUGAAACUGUCUUAAUUUCUCAACACAAACAUAAACACAAACUGCAAUGCAGUUUCUGUAUGAUACGUAUUGCCUAAUUUCAUACCAAAACUAUAAUGUGCAAUGCACGGAUUACCAUUUCUUUUUCUCUUUUCUUCUUCUUUAAACAGGUUAAUAUUGUUGAAGGGUGGCUAUGAUACAUUAGGCCUCAAGCACAAGUGUUCUUAGAAACUAGAAAAAAACUAACACUUGUGAAGCAAAAGGAAGGGCCCCCAACACUUGUACAGAAAGAUUUUUCACCAAAUGAAGAACUCACUCUCAAUUGGAUUGUGCAAAAUCCAUAUCAGUUUCCAUUUGAGGAUGACGCAGAAUGUGCUCAACAAAGUUCAUCUUCAUAAGAAUUGUGUCUACUCAACUAUUCAUUAUAGUUUGAAAUCAUUCAAAAGCAAAAACUAAUCUCGUAUUCAUUUGCAGGUUGGAUUGCGGCAUGUUCGUCAUGUUCUACAUGGAUAUAAUAGCACAAGGACAGCCCAUUCCAAAAAGUGUGGACAAGAAUUUCAUGAAUGAAUAUCGAGCACAAUACGUCACAAAACUCGUACACCACAAACACUGUGUAAUUAAUCGUCUCUAGUGAUUUGCCUUUCGUUAACUCAAGACAAUAUGUAUCUUAAUUCUUGUAGAUGUUUGUAAAUAUUUCUAGUUAUGGUAUAUGAGAACAUAUUUCCUAUACAUAUAAACUGUAAUAUAAUCGUGGAACAUGAUGCAACAAAACGAAAAGGAAACAACAAACUGCAUUGAAUUUUCUGGUCAAAUACUGCAACAAAUUAAAACUGCAGUGCAGUUUAUAUAAAUAAAUAAAUAAUCUGCUCAAAAAAUGUGAAAAGAAUCCAAAAGCCAAAGCCAUAAUCAAAGUACUAAAACUUUGUUCAAAACACAUUUAAGUAGGUCAACAAGUUGUAACAUUCCAAUAUACUUGCAAAAAUUAUUCUGAAAUUAAAUUAUGGAACAAGAAACUGCACUACCAUUUUCUGGUCAAAAUCAGCAACAAACAAACAGAAACUGCUGCUCAAAUGUGAUGUGAAAAGAAACCAAAAGGUAAAGGCAUAAUCAAAGUACUAAAACUAAUAUCAAAACACAUUUAACUCCAUGAGCAGUUAUAACAUUCCCAUGGACUAGCAAAAAGUAUUCUGAAAUUGAAUUAUGGAACAAGAAACUACACUGCCAUUUCUGGUCAAAAUCUGCAACAAAUAAACAGAAACUACAGUGCAGUUUCUGCAACAAAAUCUACUCAAAUCUGAAAACAAGCAUUGAAUGGCAGUCAAAAAUGAAUAUCCACUCAUGAAACAAUUGUAUAAUUUUUAUUAACUUCAAAAAAGAAUCAUAAUAUCCAAUUAGAAACUGUGUAGCCAAUUAAAAGCAACUAAAACUGCAAUGCAGUUUUUGCAAAAAGUGCAAAGCAGAAACUGACUAUACAUUCACUAAACCAUAUCUAAAAUAAAAAAUCGUCAAAUGAGAAGGAAUGUUCAUAUCACAGCCUUGCAAGUCUUUCUAUUGGGCCCAGCAACACUACACCGACUACAUUUCAAUGGCCUUUUAAAUUCACCAAAAACUUUGAUCCGCUUUGUUGGUGGUCUUCCGGCUGGCCUCUUUGUAAUUGGAGGAAGCACAACUCCAGUUGCAGAACCGUUGCUGCCCAAUCCUUUUCCAAUAUCUAGAAUAGAAAAAAUAGGACUCUCAUAGGCUUUUCAAAAGAAGUUGGUCCUGUAGUAACACUCCACGUAAUCAUAAACUGAAUCUUUCUUUGCUAGAAUUGCAGCCAUCGCAUGCGUGCAAGGAAAACGGUCAAUUUGCCAAAGACGGCAAGAACAAGUCCUUUGCUCGAGAUCAACCAUCACAGAAUAAUCAGCAAAUACUUCAAAAAUAGUGCAACUAGAACGACAAACUGCACAAGUCCUACCAGCCUCCGCAUUUUCCCACAGUCUAGUUUCCAUCUCCGGACACAAAAUUGUUGUCCACUUCUCCGCUUCAAUUCGUCAUUGAGAAUUCAAUACCAUCAAUUUUUGUCGAAUCCCUUCUAUCAAAGGUAGCACCGGCAAAUCUCAAAACACACUAACCCAAUUAUUAAAUGACUCCGCUAAACUAUUUGCCAUCUCCCCAUAAUGCAUUCCCUUGAAAAAUGCGUUGGCAUAGUGAUCUCUAGACAAAUCAGAUAUAAAUGCCUUCACUUUCGAACUCCAAACAAUCACCAACUCCUCCAUUGCUACCUUAAACUCUUCCUCCGUAACAGCAUAUGCUCAUCUACUAAAUAAAUUGAUAACACUGUCUUGGAGCAGUUUCCCAUAACCUGACUUCGGGUACUUCGAUAUCAAAUUCUAUUUGAGGUGAUAGUAACAGUAAGAAUGAGGUCAUCUGCAAAACAAAACCAAAAGCACAAGUAUAAGCAAAAAAAGGAAACUGCAGUGCAAUUUAUGAAAACAAAUCUGCUCAAAUUUGAAAGGAAACCAAAAGCCAAAUCCAUGAUCCAAGUACUAAAACUAAGUUUAAAACACAUUUAAGUUCAUGAGCAGUUGCGACAUUCCCACAGACAUGCAAAAAUUAUUAAGAAAAUCGAAUUAUGAAACAAGAAACUGCAAUGCAGUUUCUGCUAAAAAAUUGCCACAAAUGAAAUCUGCAAUACAUUAUAGUAACCAUACCUUGAUUUCCAUUCUUUCCCGAAGCACAGAGAAGUUGCCCCUUGUACUUGCUCUUCAAAAAUAUAGCAUCAAUGAACAACAAGGGUAUGCAAUAUUGAAAUCCAGCAAUGCAACCGCCAAACGACACAAAAAACCGUUGAAAGCGAUUAAUUCCAGCUUAACAUUCAAGAGUGUAGAGAGAACCAGUGUUAGUUUCCUUUACGGCGUCCGCAUACCACACUAACUCGUUGAAGGACUUCGACUCAUCACCGUGAACGUCCAAUUUAGCUAACUCUUUGCCAAACCAUGCGUGGUAGUAUGUGUUAUAAACAAUAAUAUAGUUUUCCUCUUUCUGUAAAACCAAAUACAAAAUAUUUAUAUUAUAAAUAACAUAUAAACAAAUUGGAAAGCUUUGAAGGUAUAAUGAAAUUGAAGAAAACAAGAUAAUAGGUAAGUAAAAGCAAAAUAAAUAAUAAGUAAGAAGGUGAGUUUGGUACGGUGAAGCACGUCAAAGACGCUAUCCUAAAUCCUUUAUAGCCUCCCUACGUACUGAUGGUCUACAAGACUCCAAAAUACGACCCCUUGUACACAAACUCAAGAUCUGCUAUGAGCACAUUCAUAGACAGAUAUAGGUAUCCAAGUCACAUAACCAUGGCCCAAAAUAAUAAUAUAAAGUAGAUAAUAUAUAUAAAAGUAGAAAAGGAGAGAAUUAGUUUGUGGUGGUGAUUGUGGUAUGUGAUAUUCUGAUGGUGUAUUGUGUGUAUAUCAAAUGUGAAGGAGGAGUGGCUUUUUAUAGGCAUCCAAAAAUAUGUAACCUUUACCAACCAUAAAAGUUCACCAACCAAAAAAUUAAGGCAUUCACCAACCAGAAAUAAAACCUGAAUAUUAAAUAUUUAUAACCCCCAUAAUAAAUAAAAUAAAACAACCAAAAUAAUUAAAUAAAUAAAAUCGUUAAAACUUUAAAACCUUUUAAAAUUACAACAGUAUGAAAUGUCUAUACCAUAAUAAUCUUAGAACUCGUGUAUAAUCUCAACUAGCUUCAGCUCUGGUUUUGCACGAAUUUUGUCCACAAUGAGGGAGGACACCACACGAGACCUCAUCAUCUUACUCUUUGAUUCCAGUAUCCGACCCGCACAUGUAUGAACAUUAUUUAACGUCCGAAUUACAAAACAACCAAUAGCUUCACAACAAGAAGCAUAAACACGACAGCUACAACACUCCAAUUUCUUAUUUGAACAAACAGCAACCACCCGCUUCUUGUCAUUGCCGGCAUAUAAAAAAUUAAAUCCUACUUCAAGAGCGUACUUGCACAAUUUCAACCGAAACUCCUCCGCCCCAGCGUCAAACUUCUGCCCUAUAUGAUGUGUGUACGUCUCCCACUCAUUCAACAACAAAGGCUUAGCACUUGCUCUCUUAGACCUACCCAAAAAUUUGUUUCUACCUUCGACAGUACUAGAACACGACGACUCGCCCUUUUCACAUGCUAUCAACUCCUUAUUUACAUAAAAAUCACCACUAUAUUCACUGCUCCCGCAUAAAUCCUUCACUAAAAUAUCAACAGUCUUCUCAUUUGAUAUCAACAAAAAUGUCAUCAUCAAGUCCAAAUCGCUAUCCGUUUCUAGAAAACAACUCGGAUAAUUGGGCACCGAAUACCGUAACGUGAAACAACCCAACUGCAAACCCCCUAAAACUUAGACACAAAGUCUUCAAAAUAUCAACCAUGGAUGACUUUGAUUAAAUUGAAAACAUAAUGGUUUUCGACUUAUAUGUGCACUUGGCAAUGACACACACCUCCAUUAGCCUUGAAAAUGCAAACAAAAUAACAACAAAAAACAUAAAACAAUUCAAAAGUAAAUAAUGUACAUGAGCAGUUGUAACAUUCCAAUAGACUUCCAAAUAUUAGUCUGAAAUCGAAUUAUGAAACAAGAAACUACAGUGCAGUUUCUAGUAAAAAACUGAAAUAACAGAAACAACAGUGCACUUUAUGAGAUAACAUACCCUUAAAUUUGAAUAGAAACCAAAAGAAAGUCAUGUUCAAAGUACUAAAAGUAAUAUUAAAACACAUUUCACUCCAUGAGCAGUUGUAACAUUGCCUUUAUGAAACCAGAAACUGCAAUGCAGUUUCUGCCAACACUCCAACAAACAGAUGCAGUUUAAGACAAAAAAUCAAAAAAAUUCGAAUAGAAACCAAAAGGAAACCAUGAUAAGUACUAAAACUAAAUUCCAAAAACAUACAAGUCGAUAUUAACGAAAACGGGUUCUAAAGGACUCAUACCUCAAAACUUAGGACUGCCAAAAAUCUCCACAACCAAACAGCACCUUAAAAUCAAAUCUGAUCUCGAAACGAAGAGGAUAGGAUUUAGCAUUGAACGGCACAAGAUCGCGCCACAAAACUGAGCUCGAAAUACCCAAAACUGACAGUCAUUCAGCAUGCAAAUCGAACGAAAACGUAGCAGACAAAAGAAAACAGAAAAACGAAGAAAAUAAAAGGAAAACCUACUAGAAAAUUGGGCUCCAACGGCAUUUCCACAACCACAGCUCCGAAAACAAAAAAGAAAACAAACGAAAACGAAAGAGAACUCGCGCAUUGUUAACAUUCAAGGGUAAAAGCGUCAUUUAAUUUGUAGGUUUACAGAUGUGCUGGGCUUUUUAAGAAUAAGGGUAGAAUUGUCUUAUCAGUUUUUAUUUUGAAGCUGGCCCAAUGAAUCUGGGCCUCUCUUUGGCCUAAUCUAAAAUAGCAAAUUUUUCCUAGGUAUUAAAAUCAAAACCAAACUACCCAAUACCUCACAUACUAAUUAGUAAAGUUAAUUAUGUCUAAUACCUAAUUUUUCAUUAAAACUAGCCCCUUGGCACAUGUGUAAAGCAUGUGCAAAUUGGUUUUUUUUUAAUUUUUAGAAUUAAGAAAAGAUAAUAUGAAUAGUUAUGUUCCAUAAAAGUAGGAUCUAUUAUCUGAUUUUGUUUUUAAUUUUAAUCAUAUGAAAAAAAAUGUGAAUUUAUCAUAUUAUCCUCAUUUAAUUAAUAAUUUUAAUUCUUAAUGUUUGAAUUAACUAAGGAUAUUUUCUAGUAUUUUAAAUGUUUCACCAUUCUCUAACUUUUGCUUUAUAUAUAUAGAUAAAGUUGUUCUUUGGUCAAGAUAACUCUAUUCAUUAAGAGCAGCAAACAAUUACAAAAUGUGGAAAACUCAAACCAAAUUUAGUCCGUUACCAACAAAUAAAGCAGACCCAACAUAAAGAUACAAAUCCAAAUAAACAAUAAAAGCCCAUGAAACAUUUAACAAAAAAAAAUCUUAGAUCUAGAACACGGGAGCAGCCGCACCGCCUAACAAGCCAACAACAUCACCAGAGCAAAUCCAUCACCAUCAAGGAGUAACAGAUACCAAGGGUAUCAAAGAUUCGAACGGAAGCGCUCCUAUAAUCCAAGAGUCAAGUAUAGUAUGCACUGUAAUCGCAUCCACAUACCACCACACGCCAUCAAGGAAGAACAACGAGAAUAGUUAACGCGGAACUGAGGAGCAGAGGGUGAUAGUUGAGAACUGGCGACCAGACGGAAUCACUGACCAUGGAUGAGCAACAUCACAACAUAGGGGAGAUGAAGAGAGUGUAGAUGUAAGAAGUGGAAGGUGAAAAGUGAAGAUGGCUAGGGAAGAAAGAAGAGGGAGAGCUCUCGGUUUUUUUUGUUAAUUAAGAUAAAGUUGUUUAAGCCGUGUCCUACACUAACCCAUUUCUUGAAGAGAAGCAUAAUAUAAGAGAUCAUGAAAUUUGGAUCAUCUUUUGACAAAAAGAGAACAAUGUGAACCUAAAUUGUUAUACAUUAACUAUAAUUGUUGUUGGUAUUUCUAAUGGUUCCAACAUCUAAAUUAAUAAAUUAAUGAAAAUAUUGCAUAUGGUUACUUUCUUGUGAUGCUACUGCUACGUUUAGAUGAGGGACAUAUAAAUAAGAAUAGUAUGACAUGAAUUAGCAUAUUUUUAUAAAGGCCCAGCAAAUUCUGCCCCUAGCAACCCAAGAUCUUGCCCCAACAACCUCUGAUGCAUCAUUUUUUUUCUUUCAUAAGUGAGAGUCUAGUAUCCUUUGUUGUGGAAUAAUCAGUAUAGAACCAAAAUAACAUAAUAAUAAAAACAAACGAAAUAUAUUUUAUAUGAAUAUAAUUGAAUCAAUACAACAGUAAUAUAAAUUGUGGAAUACUGACUUGAAUUAUAGAUAGAGUCCUGCAGAGUUGCAGUGUUCUUUAGACAAUAUUUCCCCUCUACCCUUGUGCUUGUAGUUCGAUAGGAGUCUGUCCACCAGGAUUAAACUAUCUUAAAUCAAAGCCUCAGCACAGUAACUUUGAUUUCUGGCGAACAAUAGUAUGAAUUCUCUCAGGAAGUGUUAAAAAAUGUGAGAAUGAUUAUGCUUUUCAAAAGUUAAAUUCUGGUUUGAACGUAUUGUCAAUAUAUAGAGGUCUGACACCUCUUCAUCCAACAGUUAUGUUAACCAUUUAUCUUAUUCGCAUUUCAGAGUUUGGUUUUAUCUGAAAAAACAAAUUUUUAAUUAAUAUAUAUAUUUAUUAUAUAAACAUAUAUAUAAUCCAAGCCCAAACCAUGAUGAGGCCCAACUUUGCCUCCAUUAGACCAUACUCUAUUUAGUAUUUCUAAAGUGUUGGUGCUUAUAAACCACAGAAGGAAAUAACUCCCUUCCAAUGUGGGACUAAAUGCAAGUGUGUUUUCCUAUACAAACUCUAACAAUACCCCACAUUUGUAUAGGAAAAUUGUAACGUGCGUAUUUGAGAGAAAACUUAGAUAUAACACACAUUAGGAGAGGUGUCUUUUGGACUUGAACCUACCCUAAUGAAUACUCAUCGGAUUAACAAGGUGACGCAGUGAAUAUACAAUCUUGAACUGUUCACCUAUUGAGGUAAACCGAGACAACAAGUAUCACAUAUGUUACAUCUUAACAUACCACUUAUUCAUAAGUUUGUGUUCAUUUUGGUCCUGAACAAAUCCUGGAUUCAUAGGAGCUUUAGAGAAUUUAGCCAUCUCAUUCUCAUAAAUGCGACCCCACAAUUACUCCUACAUAGGUAAUGUUGACUAAGAAUAGUCUGCUCUAUUCCUCUUGAUUUCAAGAAAUCAACAUUAUUAAACUUUCGUACCCUAAUAGACUUCUUGCAGACAACACACUUCUUUCCAUCAUAGGAAUGAGAUCUAAGUGUGUUAGCUCUUUUUGAAUUAUGCCUAACCAGUUUGCCUAUUGAACCUAGACCAUGGGAUCUCCAAUCAGCUAGGUUAAGUUUCCGUUAGGCCGAUUCAUUUAUUGAAUUGGCUUUAAUCCCAUUCCCCUCGAUGUUAAUUUAAUUUGCUCUCUUGACAAGCCUUUGGUAAGCAGAUCCGCAAGAUUUUGUCUUGACUUUAUAUAGUCAAUAGAAAUUAUUCCAUUUGAGAGCAACUGCUUGAUUGUAUUAUGCCUUCGUCUAAUAUGUCUAGACUUUCCAUUGUAUACAUUAUUUUUGGCUCUUGCUUGAGCAGCCAUACAAUCACAGUGUAUACAAACAGCCAUCACAGGCUUAGGCCAAAUAGGAACAUCCUCCAAAAAAUUUCUUAGCCACUCGACUUCUUCUCCAGCUUUAUCUAAAGCUACAAAUUCCGAUUCCAUUGUUGAUCGGGCUAUGCAGGUUUGUUUACUAGAUUUUCAAGAUAUGGAUGCUCCUCCUAGUGUAAAAACAUACCACUAGUGGAAUUUGUUUCUAAAUCAUUUGAAAUCCAAUUGGCAUCACUAUAUCCUUCUAGUACUAGAGGAUAUUUGGUAUAGUGUAAUCCAUACUCCAAAGUGUAAUUCAAGUAUCUCAAAACUCUAAUCAAUGCUUCCCAAUGAUCAUGUCCUGGAUUACUUGUAUACCUACUAAGUCUACUCACAGAAUAGGCUAUAUCAGGUCUUGUACAAUUCAUAAUGUACAUAACACUUCCAAUGAUCUGUGAAUAUUUCUUAUGCGAAAUAGAUUCACCUUCAUUCUUCUUUAAUUUGCAAUUUGUAUCAAAAAGUGUUACAGCAUGAUUACUUCCAAAAUGACCAAACUUUGUAAGAAUAGUUUCUACAUAAUGGGACUGUGUUAAUAUAUAACCAUCUGAAUUUCUUUUAACUCUAAUUCCAAGAAUCACAUCAACAAGACCUAAGUCUUUCAUGUCAAAACUGGAGUUUAACAUUUUUUUGGUAGAGUUAAUUAUGUCCUUAUUUGUCUCAAUUAUGAGCAUGUCAUCUACAUACAGACACAUUAUAACACAUGCGUUCUUAUGUGUCUUGAUAUAGACACAUUUAUCACAUUCGUUUAUUUUAAAAUCAUCUGUCAUUUUAGUAUGGUCAAAUUUUGCAUGCCAUUGCUUUGGAGCUUGUUUUAGUCCAUAGAGAGACUUUACAAGUUUGCAAACUUUUUGUUCUUGAUCUUUUACUACAAACCCCUCGGGUUGUUCCAUAUAUAUUUCCUCAUCCAACUCUCCAUUUAAGAAAGCAAUUUUUACAUCCAUUUGAUGUAUUUCCAUGUCAUAAAUUGACGUUAUAGCAAUCAACAUUCUUAUUGAUGUUAUUCUUGUCACGCGUGAGUAUGUGUCAAAGAAAUCUAAGCCUUCUUUUUGACGGUAUCCUUUGGCUACCAAUCGAGCCUUAUACUUAUUAAUUGUACCAUCUGCUUUUAAUUUCUUCUUAAAGAUCCAUUUCUAUCCAAUUGGUCUAUUACCAGGUGGUAAAUCAACCAAUUCUCAUGUAUGAUUUUGCAUAAUGGAUUCAAUCUCACUAUUGAUUGCUUCUUUCCAAAAUGGAGCUUCUGGACUUGAUAUCGCCUCUUUAUAUGUUUGAGGCUCAGCUUCAGCUAUCAUAGUCAAGAAAUCUGGUUCAAAAUCUUUUGGUAUUCUUGUCCUUUUAUUUCUUCUAGGUUCUUGAUCUUGUUCAUUUUCUUGAACACUAGAGGAGGUAGGAUUACCAACAUCUAUUCCAGAAUUAUCAUUUAUUCUAGAAUCAUCAAUAGUUCUUUUUCUUUUGAUAUUGGACCUUCCUUGUUUAUAAGGAAAAAUGUCCUCAAAGAAUAUUGCAUCCACAUAUUCUAGUAUUGUAUUCACAUGUAUAUCAGAAAUAUCAGAAUGAAAUACAAAAAAUCUAUAAGCAGCACUAUUGGAUGCAAAUCCAAUGAAGACACAAUCUAUAGUUUUGGGUCCAAGUUUAGUUCUCUUUGGCAAAGGAACUUGAACUUUUGCUAGGCAACCCCACACUUUGAGUGUCUUAUAAGUUGGUAACCUUCCUUUCCAUACUUCAUAUGGUGAGUUGCUACUCGUUUUAUGUGGAAUUCGAUUCAAGAUUGUAUUUGCAGUAAGUAAGGCUUCACCCCACAUAUUAUGUGGAAGCCCAGAGCUAUUCAACAUAGAAUUUAUCAUGUCUUUUAAUGUCCUAUUUUUUCUUUCAGCAACACCGUUUUGUUGCGGUGUAUAAGGAGGUGUCGUUUGAUGAAUUAUACCAUUUAUGGCACAAAAUUUAGCAAAUGUAGUGGAUUCAUAUUCCCCUCCUCUAUCUGAUCUUAGGACUUUAAUUUUUCUAUUGAGUUGAUUCUCAACUUCAGCCUUAUAUGUCUUAAACAUAUCCAAAGUCUCAUCUUUGCUAUGUAAUAAAUAUACAUAACAGUACUUGCUGCAAUCAUCAAUGAAAGUCACAUAAUAUUGCUUUCCUCCACGACUUGGUAUUGAUUUAAAAUCACACAAAUCACUAUGAAUUAAGCCUAGCAUUUCAUUGGACCUAUUAUGUACAGAUUUAAAACUUUGUCUGGCAAAUUUAGAUUCUGUACAUGUUUCACAUUUAAUAUUUUCAAUAGAAUCUAACUUAGGCAGCAAUCCUAAAUUAUACAUUCUAUGUAAGAAACGAAAAUUAACAUAUCCUAAUCUAGCAUGCCAUAACGUAGAAGAUGAGUCAACCAUAUAAGCAGAAGCCUUAUUUAUAUUAUUAUUCAUAGAAUUGGCAGAUACAUUAAGUUUGAACAACCCAUCAGCAAGAUAACCUUUUCCCACAAACAUUCCCCCCGUAGUUAGUACAACUUUGUUGGAUUCGAAAACUAGUUUGAAUCCUUUAUUACUUAGAACAGGUCCAAAUACCAAGUUCCUUCGUAUGUCUGGCACAUGUAGCACAUCUAGAAGGGUUAGUUCCUUUCCAUAGGUGAAUUUCAGAAGCACUUUUCCCUUUUCAACAACAGCAGAUGCAGAGGCGUUUCCCAUAAACAGUUGCUCACCACCAUGUAUCUCUUGGUAAGUAAGAAAUGCAUUCUUAUUACCACAGAUAUGGCGGGUGGCUCCAGUAUCAAUCAGCCACUCAUUGUCAUUCGAAACCAUGUUAGUUUUUGACACUACUGCAGCCAGGUUUUCUUCAGUCACAUUGGCUUGAUUGUGCCUUGGCCUGUUGUUGUUUGGAUUUGCAAGAUUGGCAGGAUUCUGAUCCCUUCUAUGCCUGCAGUCUUGAGCCUUAUGGCCUGCUUUCCCACAAAUCCAGCAUGCUCCUUUAAUCUUUUUGAAGUCUUUUCCUUUUGCUCCAUGAACAAAGUUCUCCUUGUUCUUUUUGGGAUUGAAUUUUGAUUUUGCUGAGGUUCCUUCAACUAUGUUUGCCUUGGCUUCCAUGUUUGAAACCAUAUUCUUGUUCUCACUUAUUCUGUUAUCCUCCUCAAUCUGAAGCCUAACAAUGAGAUCCUCCAUAUUCAUCUUCUUUCUCUUGUGUUUCAGAUAACUCUUGAAUUCUUUCCAAUUUGGUGGAAGUUUUUCAAUCAAGGACGCCACUUGGAAAGAUUCAUUGAUCUUUAUGCCUUUAGCAAGAAUCUCAUGAAUAAUUUUCUGGAGGUCUUCAACUUGUUUGACAAUAGGUUUGGAAUCUACCAUCUUGAAAUCUAGAAAUCUGCCUACAACAAAUUUCUUGGAUCCUGCAUCUUCAGUUUUAUAUUUUUUCUCAAGAGAUUCCCAAACUUCUCUAGCUGUCUUGACUGCUGCAUAAACAUCAUACAGUGCGUCAUCGAGUCCAUUCAAGAUAUAGUUCCUGCACAGAAAAUCAGAUUGUGUCCAUGCAUCAGUUGCAGUGACAGUCUCUUUGGUUGUAAGAUUCUCAUUCGACACAGAGGCAUCCUGUCUGAGACGGUGGGCUAGAUUUAAUGUUGUCAGAUAGAACAACAUCUUCUGUUGCCAACGUUUGAAGUCAGUGCCUUUGAAUUUCUCAGGCUUUUCGGCAUGAGAGGUCUUACUUCCUGAUUGUUCCAUAAUACUGUCUAAAGAUUGUUGUUAUGAUAUUUUUUUUGGUAUUUUAAUUAUUGUAUUUUGUGAUAUUUAUUUGCUUUAGUACCUUUCAUUUGUUGUUAUGACAUUACUUGUGCCCAAUUUUUAAACAUUGAGGACAAUGUUCAUUUCUAAGUUUGGUAUUGGAGUUUAGUAAGUAAAUUUGGAUUUUUCUAAAUUUGAUUUUUCUUAUUUUUUCUUUUAUUUUUGCUUGUUUUUUCUUGUUUUAUAAUCUUUUUUUUCCUUUUUGAGUCACUUUCCGAACACAUAUGAUGAUACUAUGAUAAAUGUUUGCAUGAAUUGAAUUAAAAUUGGAUUUCAAUAAAAAAUAAUAAUAAUAAUUCACUUAAUGACAUCUUUCUAGCAUGAUAUGCUUGAAACCUUCUAUGCACUUUCCAUUUGUUUCAUAAUUUUCUAAUUAAAGGAUUUGGAUCAUCCACAGAAUUGUAUCAAGCAUAAAUUAGACUUGUAUAACCAUAUAAGUGAGCUUUAGCCUUGUGCUUCAAUUCAUACUCUUAUUUUCUUGUCAUCUAAGUUGUUGUUUGAUCUCAUUAUUCUUAAUUAAGCACUUAAAAGUCAUUCAUUCUUAUGCAAUUUGAUUACAUGACAUUAAGAAAUGAUAUUAAGGCCCUCUUUGGAUCGUUUGUGCCUUUCAAAUUACCCUUGUGCAUGCUUAGGCAUGAUUUUCCAUUGUUAACCAUUUUGAGCUUACAUGUAAACCUUUCUUUCAUUUAACCAAUUAUAUUUCCUCGCCUUAACCUGAAAAACAACUAUUUACCUUUCUAGGGAACUCAUGAGCUUUAAUUUGAUGUGUUUUUCAUGCUAAGUUUGGGAAGGGGUAUUACAUAUUUUAAAAAACAAACAAACAAAUUAGAAAAUCACCCAAUUGGUGGAAGAAAAGAAAAUGUUGUGAUUAAGUGGUGGUUGAUUGAAAAUUCAUUUUUUGGUUUCUUUAUUGGCCUUAAAAGUAAAUUUGUGGUUGUUCAAUCAAACGAAAAGAGUGUGAAUCAAUAUAAAUGGAGGUAUAAUGCUUUAUGAUCCAUAGAUCAUGUAAAAAAAAAAUAUUCCAAUCAUGAUGAUUCGAAGUCCUGGAAACAAUUGUUUCAUGCUCUUACAUUGUGAGUUCCUUGGACUUUGUAUUAUCCAUACCUUUCAUUUCUCACUCACCUUACACCAUUGGCCUCAUUACUGUUUAUGCCUAAAAUUCUCGACCCAAAAGGCCGACCGCGUGGCAACAUCCCUGGCUGGGGCCAUCCUUCGGCCCAAUAAGGGAAGAGUUAGCCCAGAGUGUUGGCCUAGUUGAAAUGUUAGCGGUCACGGUCAUGGAGGUCGAGGCCACAUCACCAACAUGCAAUAGGACAUGAGCCAUGGUCGUGGUAUCAAGGGUCAAGGAUGAGCAAGCAGCAGACAAUAGAUAAUGGCCAUGACCUGUCCACUAUUUCUAGAUGGGCUCAAAUGGGGUCCCACUGAGGAAAACCUGGAACGGGUUUCCUGGGAAACUGAAAGCUUGCCACCCCGCGACUAAAAAAGGCAUUACUUUAAAUCCAAACCAUAAUGUUGCGGGACCCACACCAAAGUCAUAAUUACAAGGCAAGCCGUCCAGACCAUACUAGAGUUGGUGAAACGAGCAGGCCGUAGACCAAACAUUCGAUCACGACCAUUGUGUUGGGAAGCGUGUUGAUUGACAGCCACUGGAGCCAUUAAGAAUAGACAAGCUGUCCAGGGGACCUGCCACUAAAAAAAAAAAUGCAACUCCUCAGAUCACGCCUUCACAAGCUUCAUCUUCCUCUUAUAAAUACAAGACCCUCAGCAACGGAAUAAGGGUCUGCGACCAAACAAGUCUCCCAUAGAACAAAUUAUCUUUACCUAUCAUUUAUCUUCUUAUAAUGCACUUUCAAUAUCUUUAAAUGCUUUCCUAUGAGUAGUGGUAAAGCUAAGUUCUUCCAUCCAUCAAUAUAUCAUAUAACCCUUGAUUUUCAAGGCGCCGGAGCACCAUCCCUUUUACUUUUUUGUCCACCUCAUAUAUCAUACAGUCUUCGCAAUCUAUCGAGGCACUGGAGCACCAUCUAAAUCCACUGGUUGUCUUCCACCAUAGACCCCAAUCAACAACCUUGUAGCUCAAGCCGUGAACCUGACGGCCAAGAACAGUUCCUCUCUCGAUCACAAUAGCUUUGAGCGAAGUCAGAUGCAAACAGGCGUACUCAAUCCAUCUAUUCAUCCAUCCGCAUCAUCUUCAAAUGCACAGUAGACAGUGCUGGCAUGUCGGCGCACACCCAUCUAACACAAAGUAGGAUGACCUGUGUUGGUGCAUAUCCCUUCGGAGCCAUUAAGAAUAAACAAGUUGUCUAAGGGACCUGCCACCAAAAGAAAAAAGGAGAUGCAGCUCCUCAGAUCAUGCCUUCACAAGCUUCAUCUUCCUACUAUAAAUACAAGACCAAACAAGCCUCUCACAGAGCAAAUUAUCUUUACCUCUUAUUUAUCUUCUUGUAAUGCAUUUUCAAUAUCUUUAAACACUUUCCUAUGAGUAGUGGUAAAGUUAAGUUCUUCCAUCCAUCAAUAUAUCAUACAACCCUUGAUUUUCAUGGCACUGGAGUACCAUCCCUAUUACUUUUUCAUUCACCUCAUAUAUCAUACAGCUUUCGCAAUCUAUCGAGGCACUAGAGCACCAUCCAAAUCCACCGACUCUCUUCCACCAUCGACCCCAAUCAAUGGCCUUGUAGCUCAGGCCGUGAACCUGAUGGCCGAGAAAGGUUCCUCUCUCGAACUCAAUCGCUUUGAGCAAAGUCAGAUCCAAACAAGCGUACUUAAUCCAUCCAUUUAUCCAUCCGUAUCAUCUUCGAAUGCACAGUAGACCGUGUUGGCAUGUCCGUGCAUACCCAUCCAACAGAAAGUAAGACGACAUGUGUUGGCCCAUAUCCCUUCAGCCCUGGAGCACAUAUCCCUUCGGCUCUGGAGAACUAGGCCGUAAGAUCUUGCACAACCAAUAUCUUUGGCACGCCCGGUGGGAGUCUUUUCUAACCAUCUACCGAGCACUAUUCGGCGAGGUUUUGUCAAAAGUUUAUGGUGGAAACUUGGUCACAGGUGAAGCUAAAGAACAAAGAGGCCGGAUGUUCUCAAAAAUUCCUGAACCAACUUCGCCAACUGUGACUAUUGGGGCUGAGACUACUGUUAGUACAUCUGCCUUCAUCCCAUUGACAUCAGCCUACAUGACCAAGUUCGUGUAGACACAGUUUCUUUUCUUAAGGGGGGACUACUAGGGGCGGCCCAGUCUCCCGUUUAAAAACAACAGGGUUACAGUAACUUCAGCCAAGCAUCACAGGCUUCGUCUGUGCCUAUGGAAGACUUGAUGGCCAUGCAGGCCUAUAGGAUAGAAACAUCCUUCAUGGCCUUGAUGGAAAAAAUUUCUUCUAAUAUGCGGACUCUCUUUCAAGAAAAGUGCCUCCAGUACAUCCAUAUAUACCUUCCAAGACCGAACAAAGUAGAACAUAUACUGAAAGGGUUGAGCCUUACUGUGAAAGUAGCAGCUAUCACGCCACUGGUCAACCAUAUACUUCAAGCUAUAGUCAAUAUACUCAACCAACGUUCAACAGUUCGGGGCAACCUCAACUAGCUUGGUUCAGUCCCAGCUCAACGUAUUCUGCCAAAGCAUUGUGCAGCUGCAUCCCAGGCACAAUAUUGUCUGACUUAUGCAUCAGGAUCACAACCCGGUCCCGUCCACACCACUGCUGUAAAAAUGCAAAUCGGCCUAAGUUACACGACUGUGAUGCAACCACAAUUAACUCCCGGUGUAACGUCCCACAUUGACUGACGGAGAAGGGGUGAUGUGCCUUAUAUGUACAUGCCCGCCUCCAUCUAGCAUGAGGUUUUUUGGGAGCUCACUGGCUUCGGAGUCAUGGAAACUUCGAAGGUAAGCGAGUUGGUGCUAGAGUAAUCCUAGGAUAGGUGACCUACUAGGAAGUUGCUUGUGAGUUCCCAAAAACAAAACCGUGAUGGCAGAUAGGGGGGUCAAAGCAGACAAUAUCGUGUCACGACGGAGCCGACCGGGGAUGUGACAAUUUGGUAUCAGUGCCACUCUUCGAGUCUACCGACAAGGACGUCGGGCCCCUAAGGGGGUGGAUUGUAACAUCCCACAUUAACCGACGGAGAAGGGGUGAUGUGCCUUAUAUGUACAUACUCGCCUCCAUCUAGCACGAGGCCUUUUGGGAGCUCACUAGCUUCAGAGUCAUGGGAACUCCGAAAUUAAGCGAGUUGGGGCUAGAGUAAUCCCAAGAUGGGUGACCCACCAGGAAGUUGCUCGUGAGUUCCCAAAAACAAAACCGUGAUGACAGAAAAGGGGGCCCAAAGCGAACAAUAUCAUGCUACGGCGGAGUCAACCCGGGAUGUCACACCCGGCAUCGCAUAUUUAGACAUGUCGCAGCAGCAACUCGGAUCAACCCAUGUGCCCGUAACGCAACAGUUCGGCUAAAGCAACUCGGCCACAAUUGAUGCCAACUUCUUUUACUAGCUCUGAGUUCCAAGUCGGGCUAGUGACUUCGGCCAUAUUUCAAGUGCAACUUGAACCAGUGCAAUCUUUUGGUUCACAAUUGCAACUUGGCCCACCCCGAGUGCUGUACCACAACAGCAACUUUGCAAUCCCAAACAGCCAUACCACAACAUCAUAUCAACCAGUCUCAUGUGGCCGUUCAAGAAGUGCAACUCGGAUUGAUCCUUAUGACUGCAUCACAGACGCACCCUAGAGUAGCCCAUAUCGUUGCCUAGUAAUUGCAACUCAGCCCAGUAAAAUGGUCGUGCCUUAAAGGCAACUAGGCCCAGCUCAAACAGCAACUUUGCAAUCCCAAACAGCCAUACCACAACAUCAUAUCAGCCAGUCUCAUGUGGCCGUUCAAGAAGCGCAACUCGGAUUGAUCCUUAUGACUGCAUCACAGACGCACCCUAGAGUAGCCCAUAUCGUUGCCUAGUAAUUGCAACUCGGCCCAGUAAAAUGGCCGUGCCUUAAAGGCAACUAGGCCCAGCUCAAAUAAACAUAAUCCAAGUCCUAAUCGGCCCAGCUGUCGCGGCCGAACCUGUAAUUCAUGUUGGCCAACCAGCAAGGCCGCAAGUGUUCGUGGUACAACAAGAAGCACAGGUCCAACAAUCGCUGCUUGUAAGACCCUAGCCACCACCUCAAAGGCUUCAUGCUGAGGAUGUACGGUGCAUGAUUGAGACAACCUAUCUACUUGAGAUCGAUCGCAUGCCACUCCCUCAGAAUUAUUGCCUGCCUAAGUUCAUAUUAUUUUCCGAUGAUAGGCAUACUUCUUCGAUUGAGCACAUCGGCCGAUUUAUGGCCCAAUACGGCGAAGCGGAUUCUAAUGCCCAAAACUUUGGUUGUUCGUUCACUCCUUAACCGGCGCAGCAUUUUCUUGGUUCAUCAACCUCUUGCCGAAUUAGAUGAGACAUUGGUCUGAUGUGGAGAGAGUUUUCCAUGAGCACUUUUACCAGACCAAUCGAGAGAUAACCAUCGCCAAACUAGCAAGGAUAAGCUAGAUACCGGGCGAAUCUCCCCACAAUUACCUACAGUGCUUCAAGACAUUUAGAAAUUGGUGUCAAACCAAUUUGCCUAAGAGGGAGUUCGUCAACAUGGCCGAAGAGGGUUUGGAAUUCGAAUAUCGAAAGAAAUUCCAAGGUAUCGAAUUUCGUGAUAUGCAUGACUUGACCAACAAAAGUUGAUAGAUAAACGUCCCUUUUGAAAAAAUAGGUUCAUAAGAAAACAGCUACAAAAGGAACGUACUACAAGAACCCGAUCGCUAGUUAUGUAGAAGCUGACAAUCAUGGCACAACCAAUGAUGCCGAGGUCGAAGUUAGUUCGGCUGAAGUUAACAUAGACAAGCCCUUCAUAUGCAAAAAUCAAGGUAAAGAAUGAUUCUAGAAUUUCAUCAUUGGUUUCACUUUGAUUAUUUAUGUACUAUCUUAAUUGUGAUUCAUGGUAGAAAGAACUACAUGUGGCUUCAUCCCUUAGUAAUGGUACGUAGGCAACCUAGGCUAUCCUAGGUUUUGUUAUGUUUAAUUUUGUAAAGUUGAAUUUGCUGACUUUCUUAUCUUGGUAAAGGGGGGCCUUAAGACCAUUGAAACUUUUGCUAAUUCGUGUAUGGUUUAUACAUUAUGCUUGCUGAACGCUUGGAAAAUAAUUGUGUUUGCUGUGCAUGUAGAUUUCCUGGUUUUGAGCCUUUUUCAAGGGAGACUCUGCCGGUUUUCAUAUAGAAGUCAAACCUUAAAGCCGUCUUUAAAUUUAGGGCAAAAAAGGUAUUUUGGUCAUUUGUGCCGACACCUGCCAGGUGUUAGACACGCACGGAGUUUGACACGGAUUCCAAAGUGAAAUUUGGGUAAGGUCCUUUCAAUUGGUAUUAGAGCAUUAAAUUAAAUUCCUAUAGACUCUGCACCUUGUGUGCCUCCAUAUUAAGGGAAACUGUUUGAUGUCCUAUUAUGUUGUCAUGCCUUCUUGACCUAGCUGACCUCAUAGGCUGGUUGAGAUUAACGACUAUUUGGGACAUUCCAAUUUUGUGUUUAUGAAGAUGACUGUACCCAUGGUGCUAAAAGUUAGGCACAACUGAUAAGUAACGUGGUUAAUGCUGCGUUUGGAUGAAGGAAUUCUAAUUUUCAUAGAAUUUGUAAAUGACGGAAUUUGUAAUUACAUCAUUUCAAAUUACGUCAAUUCCAAAUUUUCAGUGUUUGGAUAUCUUGUAUAUAAAAUUUAAGAAAUGACGGAAAUUACAAUUUCCCCUGUUUGGAUAAUCAUAAAAGGAAUUUUAAAACUGAAACUCGCAAAGGAGGCUUAAGAAUAAAAAAGCAUGCAAUUGUUAGAACAAACGGAGAAACAAAGAGUUGAUUUUGGCGGUACCCAAAAAACUGGUUGAUAAAAGCAAGAGUGGUGCAUGAUAAUAGGCCAAGCACCCAUGUUCGAAACGUUAUGGUUGGCUCUGAUGGGUCAUAUGUGAUUGGAACUGUUAGCCUAACUUGCUCAAUUGGUUGUUGUCCACUUCAACGUCUGUUUUUGCAUCAACAAAUAUUUGACAACAUCAAUUAAUUAAUUGUAGAUUUGAUUGAUAAAGUGUUGAAUUUCUGGAAAAUAGACAACUGAAAUGAUAGCUUAAGAUUUCAGAGAGAACAUAUUUGAUAAAAGUAAAGCAGGUACCAUUCAAAUCUCUUAAACAAAAACAUUCAUAAUCCACUACUGUUAUUACUCGAAAUUGUAAUCAAGAUAAAGUCAUCUAUAUUACCAAAAAAAAAAACGUAUCACUAAAUCAAAAUAAAUGAAUCCAAUCAUUCCAACUACUGUUUAAGGUACUUGUAAUUAAAAAAUAAUAAUUAAUAAAGAUAACAUGAGAAUGAAAAAAUGUGUUCUAUGCCCUUGGUGAAAUAAACAUCAAUACCAUUCCCUUUUUUCUCUCAACUGGAAGUGUCUUCAACAUGAGAAAUUGUUUCUCAUUUUCUAUAAACCAAGUGCAUGCCUUCAAUUGUUCAUCUGGAUUAAGUUCUGGAAUUGCAUUAACUUCAUUAUAUACUUCUAAUGGAUCAAGCUUUUGUGUGGUAGCAUUGAUAAAUUGUUCGAACGAUGAAGCCAUUUUAGCCACUGAAUCAGCAAGAACAUUAGGAGUACCUCUUUUCUUUGGUGGGCGAAUUUCAGAAGAUGGUUGAUUUCUUUUCUUUGGACAGCUAGAAUUGGGUGAGACAUCAUCAAUGUGAGAAUUCUCAAAACCUUGAGUAUCAGCACCCAAGUCAACAAAAUUAUUCGGUUCGCUAUCAGGGGUCAUAACCUCAGCAGCUUCAAAACAUGUUUCAGCACCCUCUCCAGUAGCUCUAUCUUUGCCACAUAAAUCCACUAUAUCAUCCCAAUUUGCAAUUACUUUAUAUCGAAAAGUUCUAGCAUCUUCAUGAGACUAUCAAGAAAAAAAAAAGGUUAAAUAACUGUAAAUUUACCACAAAAAAUAUUAUAGUCAUGCAAAAAGGUGAAAUUCCAUUGUAAAUUACCUUCACAUACUCAUUCCAAACAUUCUCUUCAUCUAUAGUGAUCAUCUUUUUUGUUGCAUCCCAACUAAAUCCACUCUGACUUAAUAUGUCACUGACUACAGCAUAAAACCUUUUCCAUGUCUUGACACGAUUUUUAAUGUUAUCAGCACUUACUUCAAUAUUAUAUUGGGCAGACAAUAUGGCUGCAGCAGUGUUAUAAGCAACUGAUUUCCAACCACCAUCUCCUUUGUGACCCAUCUGGCGUUCUUCUCUAAGUAUCUCUGCUAAUGAACGAUCCAUUUGUAUGUUCCAACGUAAAUAACAUUUUUCAUCUCCUUCAUGUUCAUUACCUUGCUUCUCUUUCCUUUUCCUCUGCUUUAGUUUGGUUGCUUUCUCUGCCAUCUUAUGUAAUUGAAAUAAUUUCAACAACAUUAAUACACAACAUUAACAAAUUCAUUCAAAUUGCUAAAAAUGUUAAAAAUUCAAUACAUGAAGUAAACACUUAUUCAAAUUAAAACAUUACAAAGUUCAUGAAAAGUUCAAAUUGAAAAAUCAUGAAAUCGUUGUGCCUCUUGCUUGAUAAUCAUGAAACAUCUGCAAUGCUAACGUGUCACGGAAAGUAGUCCACUGAUCAGUAACUUGAACACUUGUAAUCCUAUUUGCAUUACCCUCUAAUGUAGAAUGAUUUGAUAUCUCAUGAUCCACAGAAGCUAAAAACUCCAAAUCUUGAUCUUGUAACACAAGGUCAUUAUGUUGCUCGAGUCGGAUAAAGUGAGUUCCAUCUAGUGCCCCUAUACAAUUCUAAUGACAUGAAAUAAAAAAUAAAUAAGCAAAUACUCUUAAAUGUAAUUACAAGAACAUACUUUUCUUUAGUUAUAGAAUUACCUCAAACCACUUCCACUUGUCUCUUUCUGAUCCACUUAUAGCACAUGGAUGAAGUUUCAAGUACUCUUCACUUAUUCUCAUCCUAGCAUGCAACACACUAUUAAAUUGUCGACUAAUUGUUUCUUUAGAGCGAUAAUAAUCAAAACCAAUGACCCUAAACUUCAAGUUGUGAGCAAGUAUAUUUAAGAAAAUAGCCACAGACUCUUCAAUUGAAACAUUUCUUGUUGGAGUCAAUCCACCCUUCCCAUGCAAAAUAGUGCAUAAACUUUUAAAUGCAUUCUUGCUAACUCGUAAUUGUUCAAUACAGUCAACCUCCCUCCCAUUAUAUAGACGGUUCAAGUAACAUCGUCUUUCUUGAUCCCAAUCACGUGAAGGCUCUUUGACUAGAUAAGUUUCAUUAUACCAUGCUACAACUAUAGCAAUGACAGAUGUAAUGGUACCAAGAAUAAUUGACAUUUUGUCCCUAUUUUCUUCUUCAUCUCUAGCACGCUUGCGACUUAAACGUGUAAGAAAAUUAUCUACAUCAUCAGUAGCCAUACCUGUUUAUAUUUCCAAAUAAUCUUAUUAUAUAGUCAUAUCAAACACCAACAAAAAGCCACACAAUUUUAGCUAAGGUGGAACCAUAAUAACAAAAUUGGCAGACUGAACAUUCCAUUCAAUAACCAAAUAGUGAAAUUUAUGGUAAAAGCUAAAAAAAGAUUACCAAAACUCACCACCUAACAUUUCCAAUAGUUAUUUAAAGUUUUGGUAUAGGGUUGAAUACAAGACCACCAAGUUGUGUAAAUUAUAAUAAAUAAAUAUAUGUACGUAUUUAUCUUAGCAAAGAAGUUUGCAGAGAGACCCAUGAAAUCAGAUUGGAAAGUAACUUGGGGACAAAUGAGACCUCUAAAAUUGACCAAUAUACUUAGUUAAAGCAAAGCUAGAAUAUGCACAUUUCAAGUUCCAAGGCCUGCCAAAAACUGGUACAAAGCAUAAAGGCAUAUGUGGUAUUCCCCAUACACGGCUCCAAGAGCUACCAAAAACUGGUACACAACCAGUAAGUUUGAAUCACCCAAACAACACAGCAACCCACACACAGCGAAACUCUCUUUAAGAGAAACCAAAGAAACCGACUAACAAACUCUCUUAAACCCAAAAGUUAGUCAAACAGAGAAAAGAGGAGACCAUAAUCAGAAACUACAAGAAAUUAUGCAGACUACAAGGUAAGCUAUAAUCUCCUCAGCAAUAACAACUGAGGAACCCAUAUCAUAAAUACAGAGUAAAAAUCUGCAACCAGAAAGUGCAGAAAACUAUAAUUUCAUCAGAUUAAAAAAGAUGAUAGAUGGCAAAAUACUGGAGCAAAACAGAGUCUUUGAUUGAAAGAUGAUAGAUGGCAAAAUCUGAAAACCAAACACUCUCUAUCAGAUUAAAAAAGAUGAUUAACUUCUAUUUUUUUGGGUUGAAAUCUAGUUUUAAAAAGAAACCAGAAAAGAUCAGAUAACAAAACAGAAAGUAGAGAUAAAGAAUACACCGUGCAGAGAAUAGAAUACAAACAGAAAGUAGAAUACAAACAGAGCCCGGUCAAACCCAUUAGAUAAAGAAUCAGAUAACAAAACAAAAGUAGAGAUAGAUCGAUCAAACCCAUUAAAUUGAAUACCCAUCAAUAAUAUAAACAAAAAAAAAUGCAACUAGAUUGAAAGCUCACCUGCGAAACUUGGAUGGCCUGCCUUCUUCUCCCACUCUUGAUAGAAAACUGAUAUAAGACCUGCGAAACUUGGAUGGCCUGCCUUCUUCUCCCACUCUUGAUAGAAAACUGAUAUAAGGUGUAUUUGUUGGCGCGCAGCAAAAACAAUUUCCCCCGCUCUUGAGAUUUGCAGAAUUCCACCAAUUAUGAUAGGAUUUAAACUCGGGAUUUUGGAUUGGGAAAUCCCUCCAUAUUUUCCGCAAGUGAUUUGCCAAAUCCCUAGUAGAUUUUGCCAAACGCAUGGAGUUCCCUUUUCCAUCGGUGAAAUCCCGAUUUUUUUUCAAAUCCCGUCUUUAUUUCCUUUUGCCAAACACACGGUGGAAUUUAAAGUACGGUCUGUUGCCUAGGUUGGAUUGGGGUUAGGGUCUAAGGUUUGGGUUGGCAUCAAGCUUAGUGUCAAUGUUAGGAUCAGGCCUCGGAGAAUCCACUGACGUCGUCACCGUGGCCGCUACCCUCUAUGUUAUCUAUGAAGUCAUGCAUGGGCAAGAUUUGGGAGAAUGCAAGGGAGAAGAGGAGUUGGGAGAAAUUGGGUUUCAGAAAAUGAAUUUUUGAAGGGAUAAAGGGUAAAUACAUAUGUAUUUAUAUGAAGGGCAAUUGGGUACUUUCAUGUUAUAAAGUAUGUAGUUCUGAUUGAAAUUUAUAAAGUGGUAUAUUUGAUUAUGGUUUAUCUUUUGUGAUUAUUUAAGUCAAUUUUCCAAAAAAAAUUUGGAGUUAACCUGGGUAUAAGGCAUUGAUUAUUGAAACUUUUACUAUAAAAAAAACUGAAAGAUAUAUGACAUCAGUUCAAAUAUCGAUAUAUGCUAAAUUCAUAUAAAGGCAUUGACUCAGACUGCCUAGUAAUGGUUGUGAUGUCUUCACACCCCUAUAGUCUCGCUUUUUAUAAAACUAAUGCCUGGAGAUAAUAGCUUCGAUUUCAUGCUUUACCGAUGCCUAUCAACUGUUGCCUAAAGUGAAUUUUGGCAUGUGAUUGUUGAGUGUCCUGAUUAGCAAGGAGGUUGGUGAAGGAAGCAAAACCCCUCACUAAAGAAUUCUGCAAGCAAGAAGGGAAAAGAAGGUUGGUGAAGGAAGCUUUUGAGUUGCACAAUUGAUAAUGGCCACGAAUCGAUGAACCUUUUCACAAUGUUUAUUCUUUUAGCUGGAUUUUAAACACUUUGGAGUCCCAUGUUAAUUAAGUUGUUCAGUCCUUGUUUCUUCCUUUUCUUUUCUUUUCUUCCUUUUUUUUUUCUUUUUUUUUUUUAUCAAAUGCAGUUGGAAAUACAAAUGACUUCAUUAUGUGGGAUGUGCUUAUGAAAUGUGAACCAGAAAAGAAUCUCUAAUGGGCCACAAGACCAAAAAAAAAAAAAAAAAAAAUUGUAUUGCUAAAUAAAUUCUAUAUAUAACUAGGAGUGGGCAUUGGAACCAAAAAACCGGAACAUAUAUAAAAAUUCAAAAAAAACACCAAUUGACUAAAAAAGUCAACAAACAGGCACCGAACUAGAUUAGAACGGUUUCAACCAGUUUUAGAUAAGAAAUAUGUAGAUGCUUCAAGCAGUUUAUCUCCACAUCAUAGAUUGAUAUAGGAAAUGGAAGGCAAAGUAAAAGUGAUAUAGUACUUAUUUUAGCUAAUGGUAUCAAUUGCCAAUUUGUGGUGAUCAUUUAGCCAUAUAUAUAUUGUUCUUCUUAAUUUCUUAAUGAUGAAUUGUUGGUAUGAAAAUUUGGUAUCAUAGCAUCCCCUGCAGAUCACGUAAUAUGUACAUUAACUUUUUAGUAACAACCCAUGCAAAUCAGCUACAUGGUGCUUGAUUAUUAUGCAUCAAAGUUAUUCAAAUUAAAGAUCACGACUGAGAUUAUUAUUAUCCAAAGUAUCACAAAUGGAUGGAUUCACGGUGGGAUCAAUGGGGUCAAACGACCCUACGAACUCCAUGAAAAUAAACUUGAAGGUCCUCUUAAGCUGCCUGUGCAACCCCAGAAAAUGCCUUCCAUCUAUUUGAUAUUUGGCCUCACAAAAAGGCUUGUUGUGCGAGGAAGAAGAAGCGCGUGCUAUUAAAAUAAACAAUACUAUACAUAAUUGUUUUUGGGUAAAGAAUACUAUAUGAUUUUAUUAUAAGCGAACUGAAUUUUAUUUUUUUUUGGUCAAAGAGAGAAAUGGAGCCGAUGGUCAGAGAGAGUGUGCGUUUUAAAUUUUUUUUUUUUUGUUCUUGUGCUUCAACGUGCUGUAUUUAGGUUUGUUUUUCUCGGCUCCUCCUCUCUUAAAGAUUUAGUCUGGCCCAAUUUGGAAUCCUGGUCCGUCUCUGGCCCCUCUCCUGGGGGCCCCGACCCCCACCCCGAGAACCUUUAACUCCCCAUCUCCUCUAUUGCUGCCGCUACCAGCAGUGCCAUCGUCACCAAAAACUUGCCGUUGCGUUCACCACUAUGACCCUAUGACGAGAUAAAAUUGUAGGACCAGUGAUAAAAACAAUUCUCAAACUCAUAUGCUGCCCAAAAGAAGUAGACUUUCCGACAGAGCUUUUAUAAUGCAGCAAGCCUGUAGUUCUGGUAGUUCAACUGGCAUAGCAAUUCCGCACGAAAUUGUCUGUCAUCCUAGCAACGAAAAUAAGCAUCAAGGCAAAAAAAAUUCCAGAACCAGCCAUAAAAAAAUCUCUAAAACUGAGAACAAGAAACGGAAAUGUGUUGAGAAUAUAUCCUGUGGUCACAUAAACACUGCUCAAACAACCAGAGAUCAAAUCCCAUUUGACACUUCUGAUCAGAUGAAUAGGGGUCAAGCAUUUUAUCAGAUGAAGAGGCAAAGCAGGUUCUCUCCUCUGUUAAAAUUUUGUGCUUAAUUUCAACCCUAUUGUUAUAUUACUCAUGGCCUGCAUUCAUCUUUCUUUUUUUUCCUUUUUCCCCUGUUCUACAUUUACUUUAUAGGAAUUAUUGAGAUUAUGCGGAUUUGGGAGAUAAGAAUUAUGAGUGCAUAUUUUGGUGCACUUUUUAAGUUCAAAGAAUCUAUUUAAAAAUUAAAAAAAACACCAUACACAAUCGGCCUCUUUUUCCUCUUUGCUGUCAAUAAGGAAAGAUCAAACGUCGAUUUCAAAGCCAACACCCUUUAUUUUAGAAAAGGGUUAAUUACUGUAGACGUCCUUGAACUAUGACCCCAGUUGCAAUUGGGUCCGUGAACUAAAUUUUGAGGCAACGAACUCCUUUAAUUAGACAAUCAGUUGCAAUUAGGUCACGCCGUAACAGAAUCCGUCGAGAUUGACCAUGUGAGUGUCACAUGCUCUUGUUGUUCAGGGUAUCUUCGACUUUUCGUCGUUUUGAACGAAAGAAAUCCAAUUUAGCACUGAAGAAAGGGGAAAGCACGUGAACUAUCCCUUCUGAGGCAACCAUUGGAGUUGCAUACAGUGAGCUAUCCCUUCUGAGACAGCCAUUGGAGUUAAAUUUGAUGAAGCAGUGACUGAGUGAGUGAGAAAUUUUCCGUGUAAGCUUCAAAAUUUGGGGUUGAUCGGGGGUACAGUUAAAGAUUAGGGUUUCAUUUUGGGGAUAGUUGGGUUUUUCGUCCUUUUGGCUAAUAGUGAUGGAAGAGUUUGACUUCCGUUGGGGUGGUGUUGCUCCUAAAUACAAUAAGUGAUCCUACAUGUUUGAAUACGUAUCAGUUGGUUUUGUUUUCAUCUGUGUGGUCCAUAGCUUUUAAAGAUUCCUUACACGCUUUGCUUUAUACUGUCCUUGACUGCAACACUUAGGAUUUUUUUUAUCCCUUCUUGUCUUCUAUCUAUGCCUCACACGAAAUGGACUGAAGUUAUUCCAUAGCAAUUAAAAAACUGAAUGAAUUGUGUACUGUACAUUUUGGUUUUGUUGCAGAACAAUGAAUUAAAACAUGGUUUUGUCUAAUUUUAUGAUUCCAAAACAGGUGUGUGUGUGUGUGUGUUUUAGCAUUGUUUUGACCCUUGUUUACUAUGCAGGUAACCAUGAAAACUGUAGUUUAGAACUUCACCAUGGGGGUGUGUUGGAAAGUGGGGAGUAUAAAAAUGGAAAAGUCUGUUACUUGGAUAAUGUUGUAGAGGAUUUUCUGUCAUUGGUGAACUUAAGAAAGGUAGGGAAAGGGCUUGGUUACAAUGCAGAUAUUUCCAACCCCAAACCAAAUCUGGAAAUAUGGUAUAGGAAGGGUGGAACCCAUGGUGUAGGUGGGCUUGAACUUAUCAGCUCUGAUGCUAAACUGGUUGACAUGCUGGGCCAAAUGCCAUGUAAUAGGAUUGUUGUGUUGUACUAUACUGAUGUGGGCAAUUGUAAUACAGUUUGGAGUCAAGCAUCUUUUGGGCGCCAAGGUUUGGAUGGUGCAGACAAUGGGAUAGAAUAUGAAACUGGGGUGCAAGAUAAUGUUGAUGUUGAAGAUAAAGAUGCAGCUGAGGUUGUGGACAGUGAAGAAGAUGAUGGAGAAUUUGUUGAUAGUGAUUACGAGUUCAGUGAAGAAGAAUUUGGGUUUAAGACAGUUGAAGUGCCUGUUUAUGAAAGGGCAGAGGACACUAUGAAUGAUAGUAAUGAGGGGGCCUGCUUUUGAAGCUCCUGGAGAGGUGUCAUCAGAUGGUGAGCACACCUCAGAUUUUGAUAUUGAAAGUGAGGGUGAUGAGGAUGAUAUGGAAGGAGAUAAUGAAGGGACAAGUAAGGUGAGAAGGAAAAAAAAAAAGGCCUCGGUUUAAGCAGUAUAGAAGGGAGGUGGACUUAAAGAAUCCUGAGUUUCGGCUUGGGAUACAAUUUGAAAACAGACAGGUUCUUAAAGAGGCACUCAGGGAAUAUUCCAUUAUUCAUGGAAGGAAACUGUUCUUUGAAAAAAAUGACAAGACGAGAGUAAAAGCAAUUUGCAGAGGAGAAUUAAAAUGUCCAUUUGUGCUUUAUGCUUCACAGAUAAACCAGGAUGUGCAAACAUUUGCAAUUAAGAAGUUGAGCUUAGAACACACAAGUGGAAGGGUGGAGAAACUGAAGUUUGCUAAUCCUAAAUGGAUUUGUGAGAGAUUUUCUAGCAAGAUUAAGAGAAACACAUAUUGGAAUCUGAAAGCUUUACAAUAAGAAGUUUUGGAGUCCUAUCAUGUGAGGUGUCCAAAACUCAAGUGUAUAGGGCAAAGAUAUUGGCUAAAGCACAAAUUGAAGGAAACUACAUACAGCAAUAUGCACGAUUGUGGGACUAUGCAAAGCAGUUGAAGAAUACCAACAAAGGUAGUACAGUGAAAAUUAAGUGUGAUCUGGUUGGGGGUGAAGCAAUAUUUCAAAGGAUUUAUGUCUGUCUGGCUGCUUGUAAAAAAUAUUUUUUAGCAGGGUGCAGGCCUGUAAUUGGGGUUGAUGCUUGCCAUUUGAAAGGUCUUUAUCCUAGGCAAAUAUUGACUGCUGUAGGAGUUGAUGGUAAUAAUGGUCUUUUCCCAAUUGCAUAUGCUGUGGCUGAGAUUGAAAACAAGAACUCGUGGAUUUGGUUUCUGUCUUUAUUGACUGAAGAUUUAGGUAUUACAAAUGGUUUAUCCUGGGCUUUCAUAAGUGAUAAGCAAAAAGGGCUCAUACAUGCCAUUGCACAUGUACUACCAACUGCAGAGCAUAGGAUGUGCGUCCGGCACUUGUACAAUAAUUUUAGAGCAACACAUCUUGGUCUCACUCUUAAACACAUGUUGUGGGUAGAUGCCAGAGCCACUACUAUUCCUUGGUGGGAAGCAAAAAUUGAGAAGAUGAAGGAAGAGGACUUGGAAGCUUGGAAAUGGUUGGUGCAUAGACCACCCAAUAAUUGGACUAGAUCUCAUUUUCAUCCACGGUAUAAGUGUGAUCUUCUGUUGAACAACCUUUGUGAGAGCUUUAAUGCAGUUAUAAUUGAUGCCAGAGAUAAUUCCAUUUUGACAUGUUUGGAAAGUAUUCGAAUGUAUGUGAUGCUUAGGAUGGCUAAUCGAAUGGCUGUUGUGCAAAAUGGAAACACCAUGUUGGCCCAAGGAUAUUCAAAAUAAUUGAGAAGAACAAGAUGGGAGCUUCUCAAUGCAUUCCUAGAUUGGCUGGGGAGAAAAUGUAUCAAGUCAGUCACAUGUAUGGUGAGGAGUUUGUUGUAGAUCUUGCAGCAAUGUCUUGUAGUUGUAUGAGAUGGGAUUUAUGUGGCAUACCCUGUGCACAUGCUAUUUCAGUUAUAUUCCACAGAGAUGAAAACCCUGUUGAAUAUGUACAUGAAGGUUAUAAGCCAGAGACAUACAUGAGGUCAUAUGAACCAAUAGUUCACCCCAUCCCUUCUAUGGAUCAGUGGGUUAAAGGUGGCUUGCCUCCAAUUAGACCUCUAUUUAGUAAGUGUUAACCAGGAAGACCCAAGAGAGUGAGGAGAAAGAAGGCUGCUGAGGUUCAAGUACCAGCCCCAAACCCACCAAACCCUUUGCCUCCAAGUUACACUGCUCCAGCAGCAAAACUUAGAAGACUCUUCAUUAAAAUUAGAUGUGGGGCAUGUGGAAAAGAAGGCCACAAUCGAAGAGGAUGUGGAAGACAGGUUAUUUAAUUAUUUGGGUUUUCUUAUGAAUUUUAAUUAUUUGGGUUGUGGUCAGCUGUGGUUGUGAUUUUUUAUAGCUGUGCUUGUAUGUUGUGUAGGCUGAGGUAGCCCAGAAUGGGAAUGUUGGCCAAAAUGAAGUUCAAGCAGCUGACAAUGGAAAUGCAGGUCAAAAUGAUAUUGCCCCAACCCAAACUAAUGCUACCUCGGCCCAAACUGACACUGCCACAGUCCAAAAAAAAAGUUGCCCCAACUCAAACUUACACUAGCCCAGCUCAAAUUCAAGUUAAUAAGGGCAAAGGAAGAGGAAGGGGCUUAUGGAAUCCACCUGCAAGGAUGUCAUCUUCACAACAAGUUAGUUGCCUAUUAUUCUUGCCCAACUUAGAUUUUUUAUGUUUGCCUAUAUAGUAAUAUAUGUUGUUUGUGGUUUUUAUCUUAGGUGGUAAGUGAUAUCAGUCAAGGAAAGGCCAAUCUGCCAAUGACAUACUCACAACAAGUGCCCUUGCAACCAUCAUCCUCUUCACUUACUCAACAAACCACACCCCAUAGAGGAAGAUUCAAACACAGUGUCAAAAGAGGAGGACAAGUAUGGACUGUGAAGACAUAUUUUGUGGACUUUUAAGACCUAUUUUGGGCUCUUAAGUACUUACUAUGUGGAUGUGUAUUUUGGGUAAACAAUUAUAGACUCAAGUAUGCUAUUUGGUAAUAUUAUUUUGAAGGCUCUUUUACCUAUUCUAUGUAAUGUUCAGGUGUAUUUUUGGAUUGUAUGUAAUGUGCAGUUGGUUAAUGUUAAUUGGUAAUUGAAGCCUUUUGGAUUGUAUGUAAUGUGCCCCUGUUCAUUUGGUAUACACUGCCAAUUCAGCACAAAAUCAGCUUAUAUAGCAAAACAUCUGAUACACUGCCAAAGAGGCACAAAAUAACUUUAUGCCCAGGUUUCUGCCCAUUUUUUAUACUACCAAUUUCCUGCCUAUUUCUACACUAUGCCCAUGCCAUCAAAAGCUAUUCAAGAGUAUAUACAACAUUAUGCCCAUUUCCUGCCAUUUCUACACUACCAAAUCAUCCAUAUUGAUGAACAAUAUCACAAUCAUAAAACACAACAGAACAACAACCCAGAACCACCUUUGUCUUUUUCGAUAACUCAAAAUUUCCCCUUCUAGUACAACAACUUGUUGACCCAUUCCCAGAUUCUGUUUUUUCAAAAUCUUGAUUUCUUCUUCCUCUUCUCUCAGUUUUUGCUCCAAUUUAUUCUUCUCUUCUUCCAACAAUCUGAAAUUCUCCGUCGUUCAAUUCGUCCUCCAUUCCUCUUACUCUUCUAAGUAACCCAGGCAAGAUUUCCUUUCCUCGUGGGCAUGUUUCAUUCUCACCCAUGCGAAAAAAAUGCAACCCCCUCUUACUGUUCUGCAAUUCAAACAAAACGAAACACCAAUUUCAAACCCAACAAAACACCAAUUUCAUUCUCUGAACAUGCGAAAAAAUGAAACACCAAUUACUGUUCUGCAAUUCAAACAAAAACUUACCCGAUUAUUGCAACAUGCCUCAAAUCUUCUUCCAGGAUUCAGAUCUGUUCAUGAAGUCCGGCGUUUGAUUUCCGACCCACACUCGCAAUAACGACGGCUGUAAUUUGAAUCUGUCGAACUCUGCGACAUUUUUCCUGCCCUCGCAGCCCCUUCUCAGUUCUUCAGUUCUUCAAUUGGAGGUCGAAGCAAAUGGUUUAAGGUGAGUGUUCAUAUUCGAAGGAGAGUCUUCAGACUCAAAAAGACGCUUUUACCCCUCAUUUUGACGGAUAAAUUGACAGAGUUGGACGGCAUGGCCUAAUUGCAACUGAUUGUCUAAUUAAAGGAGUUUGUUGCCUCAAAAUUUAGUUCACUGACCCAAUUGCAACUGGGGCCAUAGUUCAAGGACGUCUACAAUAAUUAACCCUUUAAAAAAUGUACUUGAUCCUAGUAAAGGCCCAAAAAGUUCACUCUUUGGAGAGAAUAUCAAGGCCUAUAAUUCUUUGUUUACAUUUACUUCAAUGGAUCAUUUAAUGGGUUCUUUUGUUACCCAAAAAGGUCAAUGUCCAAAACUUUCUUAGCUUUACAUAUAUGAUACCUGUAACGGGGUGAAAAACGCCUUUAAUUUUUCGACCCUUGUCCGGCACUUAGAAUCCUCCUAAGUCAGCCUUCUCGCACCUUCAACUAGUGAGGCUUCAGAAUUCACGCAGCGAAACAAGUGAUAACCAACACUCAUACAAGCAAGACUUGCCUCAUGCAGGAAACUCUCACACACACAUAUACGGGAAAGUUCCCAACCUUCUAUUCUCAAAUAGCAAAGGAUUACAAGCUCUUACUUUUUGUUGGACUACCACAUUACUUGGCAUCUCAACUCUACCUUCACAAGGUAUUCAUAGGCAUAAACUAUGUAGAUGACACCCCCCAUCUACUUAGGAAAAGUUGGCAACCUUUAGAUUUGCCACCUAGACAUUUUUCUCUAUCCAAAAACCUGUCCAGCCCACUCAAGCUGCCCACCUUGCAGCCCAUUUCUGUCAUGGGACCGAUUUUUCCACCUUAAAAUUCUCUCCCACUCCUUGGGACAUGCAGCCACUCUCAAGUAACCGCCCACUCUUGCUCCAACUAUCAGCCACAAGUCGAAUUUUAAUCAUACAACACUUCUAGCCACGUCCAACCACCUUUGGACUACUUAAAAACCCUUUUGCCACAUCAGAAACCCAUUCCAGCACGUGUGUUAGCCAACUGCCAGCCCAUGUCCUGUCGAAGUGCAUUGCCCGCGCUGCAUGCUACAGCUUUGUCGACAUCCAUUGCUCACCCUACGGGCAUGCUGCACCCGCUGCCUGCCAGCUUGCACUCAUCUGUCGGCAUCUUUCGACAUUUGUUGACAGCGCUUGUCGACAGCUCUCGGCAUUUGUCGACAGUGCCUGUGGACAGCUCUUGGCAUUUGUCGAUAGCUCAUGUCUGCAUCUGUCGACAGCUCUUGUGCCAUGCCGCCAAGUCUGCUGUGCUGCUGCCAGGUCUUGCUACCUACUCUCAGCCCAAAACUCAUAUCUUCUGAUGUUGUCUUUCUUCACGUAUGCACCUCCCAUUCACCUUUGGCUUGCCUUGGCAUGGUGCAAAACAUCAAAACCAUGCCAUGGCCUAUGCCCCUUGUAAUGGUCUUACAAACCACCCCCACAAGAGUCCGAUGCCCUUGUCGACUUAACUCCUUAGUAGUCUUUGUUCCUCUGAAUGUCACUUGGGUCUGCUUGAACCACUUCACCACUUACCUCCUCCAUGUACUCGUUAUCACUUGACUCAACUAUGAUCACCUUUAUCUCAUACUCUUCCAUAGGCUCCUCUUCGUCAUCACUUGAGAUCACAAUUAUACCGGCCAUGGUCUCUAUCAUAGACUCAUCUUCUCUUGUUGGCUCCUCCUUAGCCUCAGGAUUUUUGUCACGACCUGAUUCGAAAAUAAGGAAUAUUCCCGAAUUAGGGUGUGAGUUAUAUCAUAGUCAUAAUAAUAAAAUCCUACAACCAUGAUAUGAUGAGCAAAAGAGCCACAAAUGAAAACAAAUUUACUUAACAACACAGAAUCAGAGUCGCAGUAGCUCGUAGUUAAAUACACACUAAGAUCUUUAUCAAACCAUUGACUACUUACAAUUAUUAACGUUAUUCUCCAAAGUCAUCACCACAUAUAAUUUUUCCAAUAAUUCUACAAAAAUCUACUGGUACGUUUUUUUUUUUUCCAAAAUAUCACAACCUUUAUAUUUAACAUACCUAAACACAUUUAACUUGAUCAAUCAACAUUUCAACUCCUCAACUUAUUCCUCGUACCAUCUAGCCAUUCUCCAAUCUUUAAGUAAAGAUCUAAACCAAAUCAAAUUUUUACUAACACUAAUAUUGACGAAUUUAAAUUCUUAAACUUGUAUAUAUGUAUCGAUCCAAUAACCACUUAAACUCAUUAAAACAACCAUGAUUUACAUUACGCUCACUACCCUUCAAUUCAAGCCUAUGGUGACCACUCCCAUACAUCCCCACACUAAUUUUGAAAAACAAUUCAAUCCUCGCAAAAUUUUAACUGUCAUCUAAUUUUCCCAACAUCUUCAAAUUCAUUGCCCUCAUUACCUUCAGAUUCAAGACUUAAGUACUAUAAAACUACAAUUCUAAUUUUAUAACUAGAAAACCUCGAGCAUAAGGAUAACUAGAAAACCUUGUAGCCUCCUAUGGUCUGUAUGGCUGGAGAUGAGUCCUUGCUCCCUAAAAAAUAGGAUCUGAAUUUUGACUAAGAAGAGGAAUAUAGUCAUGUAAUUCCUCUGUGUUUUUUAUAGUGAAAUAUACUGAACAUUCAAAAUCCUCUGUUUUCUAUCCUUCUUUCUCUGCGUAUAAUUCUCCUAAAGGUUUUAGCUUUUGUUUUUCAACCUAAAAUAUAAAGUUUGAUACCGAUUCAACAGUGACCAACAAAAUUGAGGCAAGGUCGUCAUUAGCAAUGUUCUAUGGACCCAACGAGGACACAGUGAUUGGUCCAAUUGAGGAUUUGAUUGACGAGGAACACCGUCCAUUUGUACCAAAGGUAUAAGAAUGCAGACUUUUUUGAAGAAUUCUACAAGCAAGAAGGAAAAGAAAGAUUGGUGAAGGAAGCUUUUGAGUUGCACAAUUUAUAAUGGCCAUGAAUCAAUGAUCUGAUUGAUGUAUUCAAAACCAUGAAUCAAUGAAUACUGUAACGCCUCAAUAAAAUAAGGGUUUCAUUUCAUUCAUUUUAAAUAACAUAUAAAAAAGACCAACAAAAUAAUAAUAAUAAUAUAGAUUUUCUAUUUAAACUCCACGCUUCUCUUAGUUCACCCCAUAUUCUAAGUUCACCUUAACUUUUAAUUUAAAUUUUCACAAUUUCUAAGAAAACCCCACUAUCUUCCCAAACUACCCUUAAAUACACCCCAAGCUUAAAAAAUAAGAAAGAAAAGAAAUUUUCUAUUUAAACCCCACAAGCUACCCUUAGAGGAGGAAUGUAUACAGCUUUAGGGAGAUCAUUCUAGAAAUUUUAAGGAAUGGCAGGUUGACGAAUUCAAGAGCAAGCAUAUAGAGCAAGUCAAGUGAAGUUGUUCAGAGAGAAAUUUACAAUGAGAAUGAAGUUGGUAUGAACAUUCCCGGUGCGAGAGGAGAUAAAAAUGGUACUUGAGGUUGCUACGCUUUGCACUAUGAGUAGGCCAUCUGAUCGACCAUCAAUGGAGAAUACAUUGAAGCUUUUAUCAGAGUGGAAAAGCAACAAGAAAAAUAACCCAACUAUUGAAGAAGCAGCCGGAUUAUGAUUUUAAAUGCAUACUAGAAUUCUAGAAGUGACAAUAAUAUUACUGCUUCUAGCAGAAAAAAAAACAUAAACAAACCCAAAUCCGAAAUUUAAUAUUUUCUAGAGAAAGAGAACAGCUUUACCAAAACAUCAGGUAUUAAAAAUAAAAUUAAAAACAAAAAAACAAAAGCAAAGAUCAUUGCAGCCAAACAAUCAACAAGUCUUUCCAUCAGCUCCCACGCAUAUUUUAAAGAGGCAUGCUUGUCAACGUUCUACGUCUCUAGUAAUACGAUGUAGAAGAGUUCGUAUUUUUCUAAAACUUAAUAUGAAGAGUGGUUGGGUGUGUGUAUAGAUGCACUAGCUAAGUUUAAGUAUUAAGUUGGAUGACUUUUUUUUUGUCUUUUAACACAAUAAUAAAACUUACAGCUUAAUGAUUUAAGUAUUGGGGUGAACAAAGAGACGUAUGGGAUUUAAAUAGACAAUCUCUAAUAAUAAUAUAUGAACAUUAAUAAAUAAGGUUAAUUGUCAAUUUACCAACUGAACUUGUAUGCUAUUUUCAAUUCACACCCUCAAUUAUUUUUUUUGGAAAAUUAAGUACACGAACUAAUUUUUAUUGCUAAUUCCCCUCCUACCAUUUAAAUCUCAACAUUUCAUCCAAUUUGACGUUAAACAUAAAGGUAAAUUUGUCAUUUUAUAUGUCAAAAUAAUUACAUACUAUAAAAUUAAAAUGAGGCUUAUUUAUGUACAUGUCCCAUGUGCUUUCAAACUUGUCUCAAAUUAUCACCUGAGCUUUGAAACAUCUCAAAAUACCCCCCACACUUUUAAAACCGGUCUUACGUUAUCCAUUCCGUCAGUGUUAUAGAUCUUCCGUUACGUGCUUUGGGUUCCACUUUGUUUCAAUCCUUAACAUUGGAGAAUAAGGGUUUUUCAGUUUCAGAAAAGUGGAAAGGGGGUAUUUGGGUGAGAAGGGGAAAUUUGGAGAAGAAGGCUAGGGGAAAUCUAAGACCUCUUGUUUCAAUCCUCCUUUUGUGUUUAAAUUAUCUUGUGUGUGUUUCUUUUAUGUGUUAUGUAUUUUCUUUUGGAAUAAAAUUAUAUUUGUGGAAUUUCAAUUUUUUUUUUAGGUCAAAUUGUUCAAAAAAUUAAAUUAUAGCAUUAUUUAAAAAGAUUAAAUGAAGAAAAGUUUUCCAUAAAAUAAUUAUAAAUAAAAAAAAUUAGACUUAAAUCAUUCUUAAACAAGUUAAUAAAGUUGCGGACUUAAAAUUUGAGUCCGGAGGGUUGGAAGAAAAAACGAUUUGAGUCCGGGCAAAACCCAAAUAGUUAUUUUUUGAAUGGAGAAAAUUUGGGUUUAGCUCCUCAUGGGUUGGAGAAGGCCUAAGGAAAGUGGUGGAGGUGGGGAAUGUGGGUUAAGAGCUGGGAAGAGCCGCCAGGGUUUGAAUUUGUGUUUCUUAUAUAGGUUUUGAGUAAUGGAAGGUAUGAGAGCGUGCACCACAGUGCAGUGACCAACAAAGUUGAGACAAGGUUGUCAUUAACAAUGUUCUACGGCCCCAACAAGGACACAGUGAUUGGUCCAAUUGAGGAUUUGAUUGACGAGGAACACCCUCCAUUGUACCGGAGCUAUAAGUAUGCAGAGUUUUUUGAAGAAUUCUACCAGCAAGAAGGUUGGUGAAGGAAGCUUUUGAGUUGCACAAUUGAUAAUGGCCAUGAAUCAAUGAACCUUUUCACAAUGUUUAUUCUUUGAGCAUCGAUUUUAAACACUUUUGGAGUUCCAUUUGAAUUAAGUUGGUCAGUCCUUGUUUCUUCUUCUUUUGUUUUUUGGAUCAAAUGCAGUUGAAAUACAAAUGACUUCAUUAUGUAGGAUGUGCUUAUGAAAUAUGAACCAGAAAAGAAUCUCUAAUGGGCCACAUGUAUCACUACCCAAAAAAAAAAUUGUAUUGCUAAAUACAGCCUAAAUUUGGUCUCUACACCCAGCAUUAAAAAAAAUUUAAUGCUAGUGAUAAAAUAUCAUCAACUUGGAUUUUUUUUACUAGAUUUUCAGACUGUAAAGAAAAUUUAGCAAAAUGUCAUGAAAUUUAGUACACCCAAAAUUUGGUCUCUACACCCUAUAGUCAUCAACUUUGAUUUUUAUUUUCACUAAAUUUGGUCUCUACAUCCUAUAGUCACCAACUUUGACUUUUUUUCACUAAAUUUUCAUACUAAAGACAAUUUGGCAAAAAAUUUUGGAUGCAGAGUAGUGACAAGUGUAAAAUGUUCAAGUGGUCGUUUGUCUUUGUAGCUAUUAUAAUCGAGUGUUUUGACUUUUAUUAAUGAUAUUUCUAUUGUUUUAAAAAAAAGGUUGAUGUGAAUUUAACAACUUCCAAGAAAAACUUGCAUAAUGAAUGACGGUAGCAGCCUCGUAGGAGGAAAGUUCAAUCGAACAUUCUCUCGUCUAAUUAGAACCCAAAAAUUGACUGAAAUCUAGCAGUUUAAAAGCACCUUCACUUGAUGAAAAAUUAAAGACCAGACUUGAACACUCUGAUAAAAAAACUUCAGGUAAUUUCCAAAGAGAAGGAACUAAAGAUGGCAAAUCCUGCUUGUUCAGCCCAAAUCCCAGAGGUGGUGCUUGGCUCCUCCACUGGCCCCAAGAGCAUGCCUGUGCUUGCCUUUGGCACAGCAGCUAAUAACUUACAGCCUAUUCAGUUGAAAACAGCAGUUCUUGAGGCCAUCAAGCUUGGUUACAGGCACUUUGAUACAGCUGCCGUUUAUGGCUCAGAGCAGCCUCUGGGUGAAGCUAUCAAAGAAGCACUUAAGCUUGGCCUUGUUGCUUCCAGAGACCAACUCUUCAUCACUUCAAAGCUUUGGAGCAAUGAUGCUCACCCUCAUCAUGUCAUUCCUGCCCUCAAGAAAUCACUUGAGUGAGUCUCAAAAUCUCACAAUCUCACAAUCUAAUUUGGUUUUUCUUUUUUUUCUUUUCUUUUCUUUCAAGCAAUUGGAAUUUUUGGGUGAGUGGUUUUGUUUGAUCCUAUAAUUUUUUGUGCAGGAAUCUUCAAUUGGAGUACCUUGACCUGUAUCUCAUCCACUGGCCCAUCAGUGCCAAGCCAGGAAAAUUUGUGUUCCCACUGGUUGACGUUAUGCCAAUGGACUUCAAGGGUGUGUGGGCAGCCAUGGAAGAAUCUCAGAGACUUGGCCUCACCAAAUCAAUUGGAGUCAGCAAUUUCACUUGCAAAAAGAUUGAAACUUUACUCUCUCAUGCUACCAUUCCUCCCUCGGUCAAUCAAGUAAGUCCAUUUUCUUUCUAUAUAUACAUAUAUACAUGGUUUGGUUUUUUUUUCCUUUAAAAUUUGUAAAAAUGAACAACCUUUCAUUAAUUUUGGAGUCAAUGUGUAAAUUAUAGGUGGAGAUGAGCCCAUUCUGGCAACAGAAGAAGCUAAGAGACUUCUGCAAGGCCAAUGGUAUAGUUGUGACUGCCUUCUCUCCUUUGGGUGCCAAGGGAACCAGCUGGGGAUCCAACCAUGUUAUGGAAAGCAAAGUGCUUCAGGAUAUAGCAGAGGCUCGAGGGAAAACAGUUGCUCAGGUUCUGUCACAUUUGUAUUGUUUAUUUUCUUGAGUAUCUUUCUGUCACAUUCAUUGUUAUGUAUUAUAUUUCAGUCAAAAUUAGGAGCAGAACCCAUUAAUUAUUUUAAAGUAUAACAAACAACUUGUGACUCAGUGUGUUGGUGCUUCAACUUGGGCAGGUUUGUAUUAGAUGGGUAUACCAGACAGGGGCAACUCUUGCUGUUAAGAGCUACAACAAGGAGAGGUUGAAGCAGAAUCUGCAGGUGUUUGACUGGGAGCUAUCAGAAGAUGACCUUCACAAGAUCAAUCAAAUCCCACAGCACAAAAUGGUUACCAGGGGAGAACUGGUUUCGGCUGACGGACCAUACAAAUCCCUUGAAGAAUUAUGGGAUGGAGAGAUUUAGGCCCGAAAUGAAAGCCAACCCUUGUUAUGUAACAUGUUU
rnacentral:lncRNA from 1 species